GCGGGUUUCUUGUUACUCUUGGUGGUUGCCGCCACCUAGACGGCUUGGAGUAGUAGAGGAGGAUUGGCACGAGUUGGUGAUUGUUCGUGGCCAUCUCCCGGUGAUUGUGAGGGGUCUUGUACCUUCCUCGGCGAAGAGCCGAAAGGUAACUCUAGUAAAGUGCUCAUGUCAUUGAGCUAGCUCACUUGUGGGUAGGUUCUUGUGGUGUCCUAGUGAGGACGAGGUUCGUGCUACACCUCUUAGCCACCGAACCACCAAGUGUUGGUCGACACAACGGGGGCGUAGCGUGCCGGCAAGCACGUGAACCUCGAGAGAAAAAUCGUGUGUCUCCAUUGUUCUUGUUGAUUAGAUUUCUCCUGGUAAUUGGACUUCAUUUUAUUGAUUGGUUCAUCCCAUCUACACGGCAUUAUAAAGAUCAAACCUUCUCUCUUACUUUCCCGCAAACUAGAGUAGCUUUCUUACUUGUAUAGAAACUUUAAAUAGCUCUCUACUGUAAGUAGUGACAUAGCUCUUGUGUGCCUAGAGAUCAUAUCAACUAGAAUUGUUGGAUAGGCGGCUUGCAAACACCCCAUUAGAGCUAGAGCAAAAAGCUACGCUUUGUUAUUUACUAACCGUUUGCUCUAGUGAGUUUGUAGAAUUUUUAAAUAGGCUAUUCACCCCCCCUCUAGCCAUAUUAGGACCUUUCAGUUGUCCCUACCUUUGAGACAUGCUUGAUUUAUUAAAUACUAAUCACACUACUGAAGGGUAGAGAUGGCGGACUAGAGGGGGGUGAAUAGUCCUUUCUAAAACUUUAACACGUCGGCUAACCGAAACAAGUGCGGAAAUAAAACUAUCGGUCUAGCCAAGACUACACCCCUCUAUCUAAGUUCUCUAGCACCUUGAAAAGAUCCUAAACAAGCAAGCAAGGUGCUACCUUAGCAAGAGCUCACCUAAACAAUUCUAGGAGCAAGGUCACAUAAACCUAUGCAACUAGUACUUUACAAACUGGGGGAGCUCCUACACAAACUAGUGAGGCAAAGCGCACAAAGCCUAAGCUCACUAGCAAGCUCAAUAAUAAGGCAACUAAUGCCAAAUUAGAGAGUGCAACUUACUUAGCUACACAAAUUAAGCAAUGUGACUAACAAGGUUACACAAACCAAAUUAGUCACGCAAGGGAACUACUUCUAGCUACACAAGCAAGAAGGUAACUAGCAAGCUACACAAACUAACUAAUUACAAGAGCAACUACACAAGCACAAGUAUGAAUGUAAGCACAAGCUUGUGUUAGGGAAUUGCAAACCAACGGGAAGAACAAUAUUGACACGAUGAUUUUCUCGCGAGGUUCACUUGGUUGCCACCAAGCUACGUACCCGUUGAGACAAGCUCCAAGGUUGUCGCCGGUCCUCUUGCUAGUGGUGACCCGCAAGUCAUACUCUCCCACGUGGAGUGCUUACCACAAGCUCUAGCACUUGACCCGGUCGGACCACUUGUCGCUCUUCACGUCUCGCUCAACUAGAGUUGCUCUUCGCGAUCCCCGAGGGGUGAGCACCGUACCCCUCACAAUCUCUUCUCCGGAGCACCGCACAAUCUCCUUGCGUGCUUCGACGGAGUCACAAGACACUAAGCCGUCUAGGAGGUGGCAACCUCCAAGAGUAACAAGCACCACCGGCUCGGAACACGAACACCUAGUGCCACUCGAUGUAAUCUCUCAAUGCAACGCACUAGAAACACUCACUCGCUAUUGAUUCGCACUCUUGCAAGCACAAGUGAGUUAGAGGCUUUCCUAGCACUCCCCAAGCAAGGACACUAAGUCCCAAGGGUGCUCAGCACCAGCCAAGGCCAGCCACCACUUCUAUUUAUAGUCCCAAGGGCUAAACUAGCCGUUGCCCCUUCACUGGGCAAAACACGUAGGCACCGGACGAUCACAGGGACCACCGGACGCUCAACCCCCAGCCUCCGGUGCUCAGGCGUCAGCCACGUGUCACUAGCCGUUUGAACUCGACCGUUGCCGCCAACGGCUACUGCGCACGUGCGUCUGCACAGCACCACCGGACGAUCUACUGCGUCACACCGGACGCGUCCGGUGCACACCGGACCCGUGCGCAGAGACCUGCGCAAACUCGCAGGGUCACCGGACGCGAGCCACCGGACGCACCCUGAGCGUCCGGUGCUCACCGGACUCAUACGCAGAGAGAGUCGCCAAACCGCCCGCACACCGGACGCUGAGCACCGGACUCACUCCGGUGCGUCCGGUGCACUCUAGACAGACCCGGUAAUACACCGAACGCUAAAAGCCAGCGUCCAAUGCCUCCACGCAGUGCGUCCGGUGAGUGUUUCUCACGACUUCUCCAAAUUUCCCACCGGUGCAAUAGAAAAUAUACACUUAAGUUUCUCAAAAGCGUCGAAUCCCGCCUCGCAAGCUCGACGGGAGGGAGAGAGGAACCCACACCCCUCUCAACCCUAGGAAAACCACCUCCUUUGCAAAUAUGCCAACACCACCAAGUGUACACCACCAUGUGCAAGUGUGUUAGCAUUUUCACAAACAUUUUCCCAAAGGAGUUAGCCUCUCAACUUGCCACGCCAUGCGAUCCUAACACAUAUGCAAAGUUAGAUCACUCAAGUGGCACUAGAUAACCGAUAUGCAAACAAGUUUGCCCCUCUUGAUAGUACGGCCAUCUAUCCUAAAUCUGGUCAUAAACUUCUCUACACACCUAUGACCGGUGAAAUGGAAAUGCCCUAGGUUAUACCUCUGCCUUGUGCAUUCCAUUCCAUCUCCUCCAAUGUUGAUACAACACAUGCACCAACCAAUCACCAAAUGAUAUGAUCCACUUCAUAUCAUCACAUGACCGUAUUGGUUCAUCAAUCUUGACCUCACUUGCUCUUCACCGUUGCCUCGGUCCAUCGGCUCCAAGUCUUGCUCAAGCUUCACCGUCACACGUGGUCCCUCGCUUCAAAUCCUCCGACUUGCCCUUCACUCUUGCAACCGGUCCAUAAGCCAAGCCUCAUCUUGAUCUUCUCCACCAUGGUCACAUGACUCCAUGUCAUGUCUCAUGUGCAAUGAGCUCCUCUAUCAUCACAUCAUCACCUGUGGACUAAUCUCCUGUGUAUCUCACAUAAACACUAUUAGUCCACCUAAGUUGUCACUCAAUUACCAAAACCAAACAAGUACCUUUCAACUACUUCAUCUCCACUUGAGUAGAUCUCUAUAAAUGCUUUCAUACUACCUUUAUUUGCUUUAGUAUAUGUCUAGGAUUGGAGUAGUUUCAUUUAUCUCUUAAUUAAGCAUGGUGCUUAGUUUAGGAAUGAUGAUCUUACUUCCAAGGGAUUUUAAAUUAAGCAUGGUGCUUAAGAUAAAAUGUCCUCCUAAAAUAAAAUUAGACAUGGUGUCUAGGUUGAUUUUUGAGCCGAUAGUAUGCUAUAGUAGAUAUGGGAUAUUUUGUUGGACUAACCCCUAUAGGAAAACUUUCAAUAUCGACCUGGGAAGUCCUGAGAUAAACUCACAUUGGAGACAAAGAGAGAGACACAUGAAGGUUAACGAUUUGCACAAGGAAGACAUAGCUCAUUCAUCAUAGAGAGAUGAUCCAUGGAACAAGACAAAGAGUGCCACAAACACGAUGCACAACCGCUAAGAAAGAAAAGCUUCCACAAGGUGAUACUGUACCAUCACUCUUCAAGUAAGGUAACAUCUUAAGGUACUUGACUACCGCUUUUAUAAGCUUCUCCUUGGUUCUGGCGUUUAUAAAAUAAAGAGACAAACAUGUAUGAUUUGUAACUCCAAAUUAACCAACCCAAUUAAUUCAACAUGUUUAGUCCUUUAAUCUUUGUUCUUAGUACUACCUUCGUGAUCCCACACUCCUAAUCAUAUAAGCCAAAAUGUUGCACAUUCAAUCUUUGGAAGAUAUAAACAAAACAAAAAUAUAGAUAGAUUAUCUUUACAUUAGGUCGAGCGAUCUGAUUUGACAAAUGUUUUAAAUGCAACACUCAUGAUCUUAUUAUCCAUCAACUUUGUGUUGCUCACUAUGCUUAAGGUUAGAGAAGAACAAAUACACUUUUGGUUCUGUUGGUGUUUUUCACCAACAGGGCCUAUGCACUUGAUCUCUGCCUUGUCUCUAUGAGCAGGUACACUUCGAGCAAAACCGGAAGGAGUUUUACAACUCCCAGAUUCCACCAAGUGAAGGACUUGGAUCUACGAGCACAAACACACUGAGCAGAAUGCUGCCAAUGCCGCACCUUGAACUGCUGAACAAACGAAGAACAUGGGUGACACCGUAUCAAGAGGUACAGACGUCAAAGUCCACACUUAAUCAAAUGAUGCACCUAAAGGAGGAACACGGUGAGAAGUCUUGUCCCGAAGACUUAAAACAUUGGAUCCUUGCCGGAAGGUAAAAUCGGUAUUUAUCCAUAUUUAUCUGCAUUCCUUUUCCUUUUUAUUGCAUCACUUGCAUUAGCAUAUUUACUUUUCCACAUUAGCAUUAGAAAAGAAAACAAAAAUAUUUGUUCGUUGCACUGCAUCAUAAAAUCUAAAGCCCCAUGUGAGUAGACUUGUGGUUUAAAACCCAUAGGUAUAUUGAUUGUGGUGGCAUAAAAUAAAUAUGUUUUCAUCUUACAAUAAAAAUAUAAAAAUAAUAAGUGCAUGAUCCUGCUAAAUAAAUAAAAUUUAUUAGAAGGAAUCUCAAUAUGAUAAAGGCUAAGAGAUUUUAUGCUAACACUUAACCAGUUCCACAAAACUUUGUUGUCUAUUUGAGCUCCACAGAAUUUAAGGAUCAAAGAAGACUAGCCGGCGGAGGACAUAGUAAUUGCUGUCAGGGUGCUGCCGACAUUCAAAUACACCUCCGCCACCUGCUAGCUACAUCAGAAGAAAUUACGUCAAAAUCCAGCUUGGGAGAGAGCACCCCCAUUUAUCUAGCUAAGUGUUUCUACUCGCGUUUAUACAUUACUCAAAUAAAAAAAGAUGCAUAAUCAUAAAAACCCAAAUAAAGAUUUUGUGCUUUUAUAUAAAUCUUUGCUUAGUUUGCUAAAUAAAUAAAUAAAUAAAGUUUGCUAUGAACCCUCAUGAUAAACUCUUACAUGGAUAUGAUAAAUAGUUGCUCUGUCAUGUACCUAGUUUUCAAGUUUGAGCUCUCUCUCAAGUUUAGGCAUAACUGUUAUAAUUUAAACCUGCUCUAAACCUGAACUUAUGGGAAGAGUACUUGAUCUAAAGUCUAAGUCGUUAACGGAUACGAUAUGGGAAGGUUGAGCUGCUGUUUAUCUGUUCCUAGACAUGCAAGAAUUCUGGAGAAUUUUAUCUUUGAAAAUCUUUAAAAUGUUGCAUGAUGAGUUCUUGUAUGAUGAGAGUUUAAAAUCCUACCACAGCCAUAUAUACAUGCUUAUUAGACUAUGAGCCAUACAUUUACUUUUUACUGCUUAUGAGCAUUGUGUUCAAGCUGUGUAGACCCUUAGGAGCUUGUCAUGCGGUUAAAAUCAAGAUUCACUUGCACGUUCACUCAUAUAUGCUGCUUCUACUCCGAAAGUACGCAUCCACAUACAUCCACACAUUUCCAUAUCCAGAUUCACCCAAAAUUAUUCUACUCCUAUCUAGGAGAGAAUAGCCAAAAACAUUAUCCUAUCCCUAUUAUUCCUCGUGAAAUAAAUGCUCGAGAUAUUUUGGUUACUACCACUUGCUACAUUAUUCCAGGAGAGUGAGUGCUCUGAAAAAAAGAGAAGAAAAAAAUAUACGAGGAAAUAAAAAGGGGCAAGUGCCCGGAACCUCGAAGAAAAGAAAAAGUGAGACGAGAGGUAAAAAUAGACAAGUGUCCGAUAGUAGAAUUAGGGAUACAAGAUACCCACCUGAGAGAAAAAGAAAAAGAAAAUAUAGAGCAUCUCAUUCUCCUCAAAAAGCUUCAAAGUGCAAGAAAGGUAUGUAUCCCCUUAAAAGAGCAAAAGUAGAAUUAGACUUUCACCAUUGUUAUCAUCAUACACCAUUCAUUCGCCACACAUGCACAUCUUGAUUUGACUUAUUGACUUGUUCUUCUGGAUCUAUGGUUUGACUAUGCAAUAAAUGUCUUGUAAGUAUGUAUUAUCUGUCUCCCACCUAUGAGCUCCAGAUAUCAAAACCUUAUUAGAGUAGGGUGAGAGAGAAGGCAAUAUCACUAUGCCUCAUACCAAAAAUACCACAUACUUUGAGAGAAGGCAUAUACCAUUAUUGCCUUGGAAAGGAUCCAGAAAUACCACAAAAAGAGAGAUUUGAGAGAGUCAUACAAGGAAUCUCUGAGUUUUAUUUGAAAAUCUGCAAAAACUCCAGAACUAUAGUUAAUCGAAGAACAAGAGACAUGACGCUUGACUAGACCGUUCUAUCUUUUAACUGCUCAAGACACAAGUGACGGUUGCAAGCCCUAUGGUGGAAGGAAAAAUGAGUAAGUUUUAAGUCUUAACUGUUUACUCUAACUCAGAGAAGAGAUCUUGCUUGAAUGCAUGUGUACUUUUAAGGCAUGAAACCACUGCAGAAACUCUUGAGUUCAUCCUUGCUCAGGGACGAGCAAGAGGUAAGCUUGGGGGAUUGUUGACGGUCCUUAAGUACCAAAUUUAAUCAUCAAAUAAAUAAAGAAAAGGAUCCAAAUGCAACCAACACCUAGACUUAGGGUUUUAUCUGAUAGAAUUCCACGAGUUUUGGUGUUUGUCUAUUUCUGCAGGGGGUUAUCAGGAAAUAUGGAGAAAAGGCCCACAUGUCGGGUUUACAUAGAGAUAUUAAUGUGCCGCGCAAUUUUCUAUCAUCUAGAAGACUCCAGAAGCCACGGGAACGAACGGGAGGCCGAACGGGCCCAGGGGCAGGGCGCCCGCCCUCCCCCCUUGGGCGCCCGCCCAGCUACAGAGACCAAUCAGGUCCCGUCUCGCGGAUUAUGCUCCACCGACCUAAAGGAUCAAGGAAAACCGUGCGAUUAAUGUCGGUUUGAUCCGACGGCCCAAACUCACUUGAAGGGACUAUAUAAGCAUGCCCCCUGGCCCCUGGAGGAGGCAAUCCUCAUUAUUCAUUAGCAUAUUUUCAAGAGAGGAUUCAGAGAGAGAGGUGCCUUAGGGUUCCCACUGUUGACACUAGCUAACACCACUUAGAUACUAGGUUGUCAUCCCUAGCAUGGCGCCAGAGUGUACAAAGGUAUUUAUAAAUGUAAAGGCUUUCUAGAAAAUAAUCUAUUCUAUCCGCAAGCGCACAGAUAAAACACCUCAUUGUAGCAUUUCACCAGGAUAAGUAUUCCAGGUAUCGUUAUUUAUAAUUUUGCUUAGGGGAUCUUAAGAAGAUGGAAUUAAAUCAAAGGGGCAAAAUCUAUCAAGGCAUAGACUAAAGAUAAACUUGCAAGAACAUGAUUACUAAUGAGAAACUCGUCACACAGUCACAUACUUUAGCAGGGGGUAAACCAUAAAGAUAAUGAUAAUAAAGUAUAAGUUCAUGGGAUAAAGAGCACAGCGAUUAGAAAAUAGACUACUCCUCAUAUAUGUAGGUGAUGUCGGAUUAGCUAGAGAAUGGAUUCUAAGUCAUCUACUAACUACUAAGUCAUAAUCUACUCUAGUUAUCUACAAGAUCAUAUAUAGCAUAAAAGACUCUUCAUUCAUGUAUAAGGAACAUUGAUAAAGUAAAUCAGAACAUCGCAUGACUUACUCCACAAUACCGGUUCUGCCUGUCCUAUCAACGGAGGGUGGACUAUAUAAGAAUCAACGAAGCUGUCACUAUCGCGAACUACCACACGACUCGGCCAAUAGGAUACAUUUGCAGAUAAAUAACAUCUAAGCACCACGCUCACAUGUGAUCUAUCACCUAACUCCCUCGCGUCAAGAGCUAAGCGCUUUGCAAACUUAUACAUAAACUCAUUAUCAAUUAGAACUAUAUCAAAUAUAGAACUAGAGCAAACUAAGAACAUAAUAAUUAGAGACAUAAUGCAAUUAGAACAAUAGAAUUAGAGAAAGAUAUGAAUAAUACCAAUCUUUAUUACCGAAGAUCCGAAUCCAGAGCGUAGUGCUCUACUUCUCUAAUUGCUAUCUAAUCAACCUCUAAACUUGAAGGAUUAGGGAGUAGCUAAUUCUAAUUCUCUGUGGGAGAGAAGCUCUAAACCCUAACUUUGAUGGCUACCUCUGAAUAAUGAUUUCUCCUCCUCUCCUCCAGGGGCCAGGGGGUCUGGUUUUAUAGUCCCCUCAAGUGAACGUGAGCCAUUGGAUCAAACCGACAUAGAUUGUAUGGUUUAGAUUGAUCCUUUAGGUCGGUGGAGCGUAGUCCCGAAGCAGAGUCCUGAUUGGCUUCCUGGCCAGGGCGGGCGCCCAGCCCCCGAGCCCGAAUUGCUUCCCGUUCGUUCCCGUGGCUUCUGGACCCUUCUAGAUCAACGAAAAUUGCGCGGCACGUAAUUAUCUCGUUGUAAACAUGACAUGUGGGCCUUCUCUCCCUAUUUUCUGAUAAACCCCUGCAGAAAUAGAUAAACACCAAAGCUCGUGGAAUUCUGUCAGAUAAAACCCUAAUUCUAGAUGUUUGUUUCAUAUUGAUCCUUUUUCAUGUUUAUUUGAUUAUUAAUUUUAGUACUUAAGGACCGUCAACAAACUCCCCCAAGCUUACCCUUUGCUCGUCCCUGAGCAAAUAGCUAAACUCAGACGGAUCAGAAGUUGCUUCGAUGUUUUCUUUCCUGACAGGCACACAUGCUUUUACUUAAAAAUUCUUCCAGAUUAGAGUGAAGUGUUAUGAAGUUUAGUACCUGCACUUAAGUCUUAAGUAAUCGAAAGACAAAAUAGUUAAGUCAAGCACUAUCCCUCCUGUCUAUACUUCACCUUUGUUCUAGAGUUUUUCAUAAGUUUUCAAAAUAAAACUCAGAGUUCCUAGCAAUGAUUCUCUCAAGUCUCUCUAUAUGUGGUAUUUGUGGAUCCUUACCAUAAUGUCACUUACCUAUAGCUAAUGAAAUAUUUAAGUGGAGCUCAUAGGAGUGAAAAACAGCUGAUACAUAUGUUGUCUAAUCGAGCCAUGGAUCCAAAGGAACUCAGCAUAUAAUUAAAUCAAGAUGUGCAUGUGUGAUGGAGUAAAUGAUAGUGAUGGUGAAAAUGCAUAAGUGAUAAUAAAACUUAGUUCUCAUUGCUCCUCAUAUUGCUAUCUCUCCUCCUCUUUGAUCUUUGCUUUGGGAGAACAUGGGCUAUCUUUUUUUUUCAGGUGGGUAAUAGAUACCCCUAAUUCUAUUGUCGGACACUUGUCUAUUUUUUCCGCUCAAGUGGGCAUCUUUGUACCCCUAAUUCUACUUCGGACACUUGUCCAUUUUUACCUCUCGUCUCACUCUUUUUCUUUCUUUUUCGAGGUUCCCGGGCACUUGCCCCUUUUAUUUCCUCGUAUAUAUUUUUGCAUAACCCAUGCCUCUUCUACAUUGAAUCUUUUUAGAGAGAGAGUAUAACAAUAUUCGGGACAGUGAGUGAUAAUAUUUUUAGCAAUUUUAAUGAUUGAUGAUGAAUGCUGUGGUAGAUGCGUGCAAGUGAAUAUCUUAAUUUAACCACAUGAAAAGCUCCUAAGGGUCAACACAGCUCGAUCAAACUCAAUGUAAAUAUAGUAAAAGAUGUUAUAGCAAGUAUGGCUGUGGUAGGUAGUUUGUUAUGCUAGGAACUCAUCAUGUGCUUCGUAAGUUUUCAAAAUAAAUCUCCAGAACUUAGUGUAGUAGGAACAAGAUAAACAGUAGCUCAACUUUAUAUCAUGUCUUUCUCUUACCUAGACUUUAGUUUUAUGCUUUCCAAAGAUAGUAAUUUUAGUUUUAGUAAUUCCUGGAAGAAUUCUAAUAUAAAAGCUAGGUACUUGUAAGUAAGCAAACAGAGCAACUGUUCAUCAUUUCCAUCAUGCAUAUUUUUGGUCUUUUUAUUAUUUUUUUUAGAGAUUAAACUUAGCAGAAAAAUAAAGCACACUUAUCUACACACUCUUUUUAUUUUGUUUUCAUGUUUAUAGAAUGCAGUAAAUUAAAAAAAUAUUUAUUUGGUUUUCUAAGUUUUUUUUUUCUUUUAAGAUAAAUUAAAUACUAAGACAGAAUAGAAUAAAUAAGAACAGCAAAUAAAAACUUACUUGAUAAAUUUGGGAGGAACUCCCCCAAAGCUGGAUGUUGACGUCGGUCUUACCCGAUGUUCCAGAACCGCAUCAUGGUUGUGAUGUUAUCGUUCAUUGUUGUUGUAUCUUGUCUUAGCUCUUCUACUGCAGCGGCAUGGUCCUGGUUCCAUUUUUGUUGCUCUUCCAGGAGUCUUCCAUGUUCUGCUUGCGUAUUCUGGAUGUCGAGGAGGGUGUUGUCGGUACGAGUGAAGAAAGCACCGGCCUCUUGAUAGUAGUCAUUCGUGAAGGCGUAGGAGGCGUCGGAGUAUCGUCCUGCAUCAAAUUGGGGUGGAGGUCUGGAUCCUGAAGCUCCAUAUGGAUCAGUGGAGUACCUGCCCAUAUGAAAAGGCGGGUUUGUCCACUGGUGAUCUUGGCUCUCCGGCCAUGUCUCCUCUGUUGGCUCUUGUGGUUGCGCAUGACGAGCCCAUGGGUCUCGAAGGACUCGUGGAUUAUAAUCGCAAUAAUGCAGGUGCGCUGCUUCUUCUGGUCCAGGGUCAGCUCCAUACCAAGUGUGUUCUCUGUGAGUGGUUAUCCUUUCAGAUGCCACUCGCUGUGGAGUUCUCUGGUUCACUGGUGUUGCUGCAAUCCCAAUCAAAAAGUUUUGCACAGUGUAGAGGCCAAGGUUCGGGUUAGGUAACCGAAUCUUGCCUUUAUCAUCAUACAGCAUAUACAUUGUAUUCCCCUCUUUCUUUAACAUCCGAGCUUGUCUAAAUGUGUCAUAGCCAUGAUAAAUUCUUAAUUCUUCUAUGAAGUCCAACGAUGAGUUUUCUAGUAAGUGAAGAUUAGUGGCUAGACGAGUGAUAAGUGAAGUACAUCCUACUGGUCCCUGAAGACUAGGUAUACUAAGCCAAUGUGAAACUAAUAGUGUAACAGGUGAAGUAGGUACUUUACUAAUAGCAGCAUAUAAAAGUUGUAAAUCUCCUACUCUUACUUUCCUAAUAUCGUCACGAUAGAAAAGAUUGUACCCAAGCCAUUUGUGAAACAUCCUAAGAGUGGGGUGUUCCAUGUCACUGGUUCGGGCUUGACUAUACAAAUUAUCUCUAGAUAUUUCUCUCCAAAACUGGUGUCUCUCAAAAUUGGGUAAAUCGGAGUCAAUGUUUAGGAUGCAUCUUGAAGAGAAACCAAGAUGGUCGCUUAGCUCUCUCCAAGACAACAUAAUUUCUUGUUUGAACAUCCGAAAAACAAUUCCCCCCUCAUAGUAUUGUAAAGUGCAAAGAAAUUCGAGGGUGAGAAGACGAGAACCCAGCUCAGUUAUAUUCCAAAAAUUUGUCCAACCCAUCAUUUGAAAAAUUAAGUCAAAUUCAGUGUCCAUACCUGUUUCUCGUAGUAGGAUUGGAUCGAUAGUAGGGGUGUGAAUGAAAUCUUUAUUCUUCAAUUGCUGAUAUACUUCCUUUUCUCUUCGGGUCUUCAGUCCUAGGUCUCCUAUCUUGAGAAGGACCUUAACUUGCUGACCUGAUGAAGAUGAUGGAGCUUGUGUGGGUGUCGGGUCGAUGCUCAUCUCUGAUGGUUGUGAGGAGUGUCGGGAUGAACUCCUUGUACCAAUGUUCUUGAUAGCCUUCCCUGCAUUCUUUACCUUCUUAAACAUCCUGCAAACAAAAGUUGGCAAAAACACAACUGGUGGAAAAUGUGAGAUAAAAUGUUAGUGGUCAGCUGUCCGGAGUGUUAGUAGUCCAGGGGUUAAUCGUUCAAGACAAGUUUCUAUUUUGGUAGAGCCUCCCUCUAAACAACUUUUACUUCCGCUUGGACAGCGGGAUCACUAUUUGCUAGGUGACAAUCACUUUCUCAAAAGAACUCCAACCUUCCCUUCCACUCUCCUCUUUCUCUCUACUCUCUUCUCUUCACUACAAAAGCUCCUUCUCGGGAAACUGAGAUUUGUGUGGUUUUUUAAAGUGUUUGUGUGAAGAGAAGGGGAGCUGGAGGUGGCCUUUUAUAGGCUAAGCAGGGGACAGGGCAGGCGCCCAAGGUAGGUGGGCGGGCGCCCAACCCUGGUGUCCAUCCUGUGUGUGCUUCCUCCACUUGCUUCCUUGCUUUGAUCUCACGCAGAAUAAUAUUGUGUUGGUAGUGGUUGGACGGUGGAAAGAUGUCAGGUGAGUGGAAAUAUAUUGGUGGAUGAAAUUAUGUGAUGGGAUGUAUGUGAGGUGAAGUGUAUGACAUGUGGGACCCAAAGAGUGUGGGUCAUGCUUCUAGAAGAUUAAUAUGAUUAAAUAUAAUGCAGGAAAAAUCUAUGAAAAUUUUAAUUAAAAAUGAUAAUGGGAAAUAUUCUUGUGCCUCCACAAUAAUUAAUAAAUAUGGGUUGUUACACACCACGAAUAUUAUUUAUAUGGGGCUUUUUGAUUAUUAUAAUUAUUCUAUGAAUGUAUAUGACUAAUGCAAGAAUUAAUUAUGCAAGAAUUUAAAUAUGAGAAAAUUAAUAAUGCGGGUAAAUACCGAUUUACCUCCCGGUGAGGGUUUGGGAUUUUUAGGUCCCCCAAGCUGGACCUCCAAAUCUUUUAAUCUUCUGAGUUACCUUCCUCCGGAGAUGGUGUCUCCAGUGGUUCUUCAUGAACUUCCUUCACUGUAGAGUCUCUCUCCGGUCUGGGUUUGAAUGUGAAGUGUUCUUCUUGACCGUUUAUGUUGAACUUGAUUUCUCCUUUUCCGACAUCAAUGUGGGCAUUGGCAGUGCUCAGAAAUGGCCUUCCAAGGAUGAUGGACACUUUUGAGUCAGGACUCAUGUCCAGUACUACGAAGUCUACUGGUACCAGGAAAUCUCUGAUCUUGACUGGAAUGUUCUCGGCGAUGCCCAACGGGUGUCGAACCGAUUGAUCCGCUAGUUGUAGACACAUUGAUGUUGGUUCUAAAGUUGCAUGCUCAAGCUUUUUGUAGACUGAUGCUGGCAUCACACUGACACUUGCUCCGAGAUCACAAAGUGCAUUAUUGAAGUGUUGGUUUCCGAUCGAGCAAUCAAUAGUGGGGCAUCCUGGAUCUUCCUUCUUCUUUGGUGAUUUGUUGAGGAUGGCCGCACUACAUUCUUCUGUCAGCUUGAUAACCUCAGUGGUGGGCAGUGGUCUCUUCUUGUUAAGAAUAUCUCUGAUGUACUUUGCGUAUGUAGGUACCUGUAUGGCAUCGAGCAGAGGUAUGUUGACAUAUAAUUUCUGAAUGACCUCUACAAACUUACCAAACAGCUCAUCCGACUGCAGUCCUCUGUUUCUUCUGGGAAAUGGCAAAUAGUUGGUGUCGUAAAAACCUUUCCUCAUUUCUCCAGUUCUUGGUGGUUGGAGCAGAUCUUCUGCUUCAACUGGGCUUUCUUCUUCUAUCACUGCUGGUUGCACUGGUGCUGAUGAUCUUUGUUUCUCUUUUGGGUAUGGUGGAUCUCUGGUAGCUUUACCUCCUCUAGUAGUUAUAUUCUUUACCUGCUCAAGGUUAGUAGCAACAGGCAGUGCAGCAGCUAUCUUUAUUAAUUUAAGCUCUACCCUUUUAUUAAGAGUGUUUUGCUCAUCAAAGGCAGUUAGUAGAAAAUCCAUUUUAUUAUGUAUAACUUUUAGAGACGAUUCAUUUGUAUCUAGCCUUUGUUUAACUUUAUCAUUAAUUUUGGUUUGUUGAGCAAUUAUCUCUUUUAAUGAAAGUUGCUUGACAGUAUUACCUGAAUUCAUACCUUUGCUAUUGGGUUGACUUGAAGUUGGUUGAUAUUUAUAUGCUGUCUCAAUGGCCCUUUGAUCUUCUUUGAACUUGGCCCUCUGGUCAAUCCAAUGGAGCAAAUUUUCCAUCUUAGUUGAUAAUGCAUUUACUUCUUCUGGUAUUUCUUCAGUUUGAUGACAUUGUUGAGCUUUAUCUUGGAACCAGCUUUGGUUUUCUGCUAUCUUAUCCAAAAGUAUCUCUGCUUUUCCAGUUGUAAGCUCCAAGAAUGAUCCUUUAGCAGAUGCAUCUAGGCACUCACGAGCCUUCUGGGUUAAUCCAUGGUAGAAGGUCUACAUAAGUAACCGUGUGGUCAUUCCAUGGUGAGGACAAUCUGAUAUGUAUCCUUGAAAACGCUCCCAUGCUUCUGAAAUGGCUUCUGUCUUCUGCUGUUGGAAACUGACAAUAUUUCCUCUUAAGGCAGUUGUUUUGCCUAUAGGGAAAAACUUUGAUAGAAAGGCAUCUGACAAGUUCGUCCAGUUGUUGAUGUUAUCUUGAUGAGUGUAGAACCACUUCCUCGCUUUUCCUUCUAGUGAGAAUGGAAAAAGGCGAAGCAGUAUGACAUCUUUGUCAACUCCAUUGAUGUGGAUUGUGCUUCCAAUCUCUAAGAAAUUCUGCAAGUGUGCACUGACAUCUUCAUGUGCCUUUCCACUGAAUUGUGUAGCUUGUACCAAAUUGAUGAGGCUUGACUUGAGCUCAAACUCGGGUAUUCCUUCUUCUACUGCAAAUCUUGGACCGGUUGGAAUGUUGUCAAGACUUGGAGCAGAGAAUUCUUGCAAGGUCUUGUGUGCCAUAGCUUCAGCAAUUGGUAGCUAGCUUCUUCUUCUCUUGAUUGCUUUGGUUCUGAUGAUGUAGAGUUGAAUGUACCCAAAGUCAAUCCUGUUAUACCCUGUAUAAAAAUAUAAACAUAGAAAAACAACAGGGUGAACCUGCCAAAGCAGCGGUGCCUUGUUAUGAUUUCUCACUUAGUAGCUGUUUUAUGCAAUUAUUUCUCUAUAGUCUAGUCUAAUAUUUUAUAUGAAUAAUCCUUGAUUGAUUUUCUAGCUUUCCUUACCGUUCCUAAAUAUUACUCCUUUGUUCCCUUUUAUGACUUAUUCCUGAGACUCAUAUAAUUAUCCUAUAAUUCCUAACAUGUCCUAUAGAUCCUAUAAGCCCCCGGCAACGGCGCCAGAAAUGCUUGUUGACACUAGCUAACACCACUUAGAUACUAGGUUGUCAUCCCUAGCAUGGCGCCAGAGUGUACAAAGGUAUUUAUAAAUGUAAAGGCUUUCUAGAAAAUAAUCUAUUCUAUCCGCAAGCGCACAGAUAAAACACCUCAUUGUAGCAUUUCACCAGGAUAAGUAUUCCAGGUAUCGUUAUUUAUAAUUUUGCUUAGGGGAUCUUAAGAAGAUGGAAUUAAAUCAAAGGGGCAAAAUCUAUCAAGGCAUAGACUAAAGAUAAACUUGCAAGAACAUGAUUACUAAUGAGAAACUCGUCACACAGUCACAUACUUUAGCAGGGGGUAAACCAUAAAGAUAAUGAUAAUAAAGUAUAAGUUCAUGGGAUAAAGAGCACAGCGAUUAGAAAAUAGACUACUCCUCAUAUAUGUAGGUGAUGUCGGAUUAGCUAGAGAAUGGAUUCUAAGUCAUCUACUAACUACUAAGUCAUAAUCUACUCUAGUUAUCUACAAGAUCAUAUAUAGCAUAAAAGACUCUUCAUUCAUGUAUAAGGAACAUUGAUAAAGUAAAUCAGAACAUCGCAUGACUUACUCCACAAUACCGGUUCUGCCUGUCCUAUCAACGGAGGGUGGACUAUAUAAGAAUCAACGAAGCUGUCACUAUCGCGAACUACCACACGACUCGGCCAAUAGGAUACAUUUGCAGAUAAAUAACAUCUAAGCACCACGCUCACAUGUGAUCUAUCACCUAACUCCCUCGCGUCAAGAGCUAAGCGCUUUGCAAACUUAUACAUAAACUCAUUAUCAAUUAGAACUAUAUCAAAUAUAGAACUAGAGCAAACUAAGAACAUAAUAAUUAGAGACAUAAUGCAAUUAGAACAAUAGAAUUAGAGAAAGAUAUGAAUAAUACCAAUCUUUAUUACCGAAGAUCCGAAUCCAGAGCGUAGUGCUCUACUUCUCUAAUUGCUAUCUAAUCAACCUCUAAACUUGAAGGAUUAGGGAGUAGCUAAUUCUAAUUCUCUGUGGGAGAGAAGCUCUAAACCCUAACUUUGAUGGCUACCUCUGAAUAAUGAUUUCUCCUCCUCUCCUCCAGGGGCCAGGGGGUCUGGUUUUAUAGUCCCCUCAAGUGAACGUGAGCCAUUGGAUCAAACCGACAUAGAUUGUAUGGUUUAGAUUGAUCCUUUAGGUCGGUGGAGCGUAGUCCCGAAGCAGAGUCCUGAUUGGCUUCCUGGCCAGGGCGGGCGCCCAGCCCCCGAGCCCGAAUUGCUUCCCGUUCGUUCCCGUGGCUUCUGGACCCUUCUAGAUCAACGAAAAUUGCGCGGCACGUAAUUAUCUCGUUGUAAACAUGACAUGUGGGCCUUCUCUCCCUAUUUUCUGAUAAACCCCUGCAGAAAUAGAUAAACACCAAAGCUCGUGGAAUUCUGUCAGAUAAAACCCUAAUUCUAGAUGUUUGUUUCAUAUUGAUCCUUUUUCAUGUUUAUUUGAUUAUUAAUUUUAGUACUUAAGGACCGUCAACACCCACCUCAUAGGGCUUAGCAUCCAAUGUGAGAGUAGAACUAGUUCUACUAGAUUGAGAGAGAUAGAGUGGAGGUGUAGAUCGGAGGAAGCCCGACUUGUCGGUGUCUACUCUAAGGUUAUACCUGCGGGAUCAAGUCUCCUAACCCGAGGCUUGCUCCUAGGAUUAUUCAGUAUUUCGACUUCUAAAUUCUAGUAAGUUCUUUGUUCUUAUUAUUCUUUAGUUUAUGAGUUUACUUUAAUCUCUUCCGGUUGAGUUUAGAGUAAUCAUUGCUAGCGUAAACGUGGUGUUUGGGCUAAGGUACUCAUAGAUAUCCCCUGUCUAGCCAGACCGUGGUAGUAGCGAGGAACGUGACAUUUCCGAGUUACCUUUGUAGCCCACAUCCCGUUAGCAGGAUCGGUAGGGUUUAUAGGUGCGGGUCGAACAUCCUUUGUGGUGUCUAGAUUUCGUAAUCCUCCCCAAUAGAACAGUAGAUCGUCCUUACCAAGGCUAGAACGAGAGUGCGGUUGUAGUCUUCUCUAUACAUCGCUCACAUUGAAUCACAUUGUUUGUAGCCUAAAGGGUAGUAGCAAUAGAUUUGGUUAGUCAGAUGCACGCUUUCUCCCAAUGGUAAAAAUAUAAAUACGAUACUCUGGAUAACCUCCCGGGUGAAGUGCUCACCGAUAUCCGUGCGCUUGCGGAUCAAUUCCUGAUGGCGUUAACAAAUAUCAACACUCAUCAUCAUCAUUGUCAUUGUAUUGAUCUUCGGUCAUGACAUCUCCAAGUAUCUCAUUGGGAGAUACACCCGUCAAUCCACCUCUAAAGAUGAUUGCUCUCAAUGUCUUGAACCUCUUGGGCAAGCACAUCAAGAACUUGUGAAUGAAGUCCUCAUCCUUUACUUUCUCACCAAGGCCCUUGAGAUCAUUGAUGAUGACUUGGAGCCUAUAGAACAUUUCCGGUAUGGACUCAUCAUCCUUCAUCUUGAAGUUUGAUAGCUUGUCCUUGAACAUGUACAACUUGGCACUUUUUACCGUUGUAGUGCCUUCAUAUGUUUUUCUAGUCUUCUCCACACUUCACUUGCCUUCUCAAGAUCUUUGACUUGUUCAAACACCUUUGAAUCAAUGCCAUUAUAGAUAGUGUUGAGAGCCAUAGUAUUGCAUUACUUGUUUGCUCUCUCAUUGUCGGUGGGGUUAGCGGGGUCAAGGAUCACAAAAUGAUUCUCUGUGACUUCCCACACUCUAUCAUUGAUUGAUCGAAGGUACAUUUCCAUUUUUCUCUUCCAAUAGUGAAAAGAACUUGUGCCAUCAAAGAAUGGUGGUUUGCCCCCAACAUGGUUGAACACUAUUUGAGCUAUAAUUUAAGCACCGAGGUUGUUAAGCCUUCACAAAAUGGUGACCACGGCUCUGAUACCACUUGAAACGUCCUAAUAUGGCUAGAGGGGGGUGAAUAGCCUAUUUAAAAAUUCUACAAACUCACUAGAGCAAGUGGUUAGUAAAUAACAAAGCGAAGCUUUUUGCUCUAGCUCUAAAAGGGGUGUUUGCAAGCCACCUACCCAACAAAUCUAUUUGCUAUGAUCACUAUGCACACAUGAACUAAGUCUCUACAAGUUACACUAGUGAACUAAGCUACACUAGGCAAGGUAAGCAACUAAACUAAUUACACUAGUUUGCGGUAAGUAAUAUAUAGGAUGAGAUAUUUAUACCGCCGUGUAGGGGAUGAACCAAUCACCAAUAUAAACAAUCAAGCACCGGGAGAAAUCCAAUCAAACACAAUUGAGACACCAAUUUUUCUCCCAAUGUUUACGUGCUUGCCGGCACGCUACGUCCUCUUGUGUCGACCAACACUUGGUGGUUCGGUGGCUAAGAGGUGUAGCACGAACCUCGUCCUCACUAGGACACCACAAGAACCUACCCACAAGUGAGGUAGCUCAAUGACACGAGCAAUCCACUAAUGUUGCCUUUGGCUCUCCACCGAGGUAGGCACAAACCCCUCACAAUCACCGGGAGAUGGCCACGAACAAUCACCAACUCGUGCCAAAGCUCCUCCGCAGCUCCAAGCCGUCUAGGUGGCGGCAACCACCAAUAGUAACAAGCAAACCCACUGCUCAACGAUCACUAGUGCCACUAGAUGCUUAAACUCUAAGCAAAUGCAACUAGGAUCUCUCCCAAUCUCACUUUGGAUGAACAAAUCUUGAACAAGGUGAGUGGGAUGUGUGGGAGUAUGCUCACAAGGUGUAUCAACAAGUUAGAGAGUCAAGGGCGUGAGCAUGAACCAGCCAAGGCAAAUAUAUAGAAGCCCCAAGCAUCAAAUAGUUGUUGGCCACUUACCCCACUGUCUGCGUCUACACCAGACGCAUCCUAGUUCACAUCAGACGCGUCCAGUAUUGACCAGACCAGCGUCCGGUGCUCUUGACCGUUAGAAAAGUAUUCGUUGCCUCUAACACUGACAAGGCAUUAGACUCUCAAUUUUGAACGCACCGAACAGUCUAAAGAGGGACCGGACGAAAACUCAGGGAGCGUUGCAAAAUGUCACAACACCAGUCGCUGCACCGAACUCACACACCAGACCUAAACUCAGAGAGCUCUGCAAGAUGAGUUUGCACCGGAUGCUAACUUGGACGCGUCUGGUGUCACAUCGGAUGCGUCCGGUGUGCACCAGACGCAAACUCAGAGAGCUACUCGAGACAGCGUGUCCUCUGGAUGAGUUAGAUCAGACUCAACAUAGAGAGUCUGGUAAAAAAUUGAGCUCACACCGGACGCUCAACUCGGACACGUCCGACCUCAUACCGGACGCGUCCGGUGUGCACAGAAAACUUUUUUUUUCAACUAAACGCUCUACACUUUCUUCCCUUGCUUCUAUGUGCCAACACCAAAGUGUCUCAACACUUGUGCACGUGUAUUAGCAAAUUUCAAAAACAUUUUUCAAGGGUUAAUUAAUUCGUUCACUAGGUCCUAAUGCAUAUGCAAGGAAUCCAAUCACCUAGUGGCACUUAGAUAACCGUUUUCACAACGAGAUUACCCCUCUUAAUAGUACGACUAUCUAUCCUAAAUGUGAUCACACCCUCUAUGGUGUCUUGAUCACCAAAACCAAAACCCUAAGCAAUACCUUUGCCUUGAUCUUCAUAGGGUUUUGUUUUUCUCUUUCUUCUUUUCCAAAUUGAGCACUUGAUCAUCUUGUGGUCGUCACCAUUUUCACCAUGACCAUCUCUUGCUCCAUCACUUGGCAUGUACCAACCUCAUUAAGUCUACGCACACUUAGUAUAGAGGUUAGUACUAGGGUUUCAUUAAUUAUCUAAAACCAAACUAGAGCUUUCACUGUUACCUGCUGUUACAAGCAAAAAAUUGAUCGAAGGCACCUAGAGAAAGAAAAUUUCAUACAAGGGUACUGAGGAGCUUUUUCAAACUUCGAUGGUACACAAGUCAUUCUAAAUUUUUAUAAUGGCACACGGGUAAAAAGCUCAUAAAAUUAUUAUUAUAUCUUUGUUCAAUUGAGAUCCAAUCAAACAAGGACUCCCAUAUAAUUAAUUAACCUGCAGGUAGUUAGGAUAAUAUAUAUUUACUUUAGGAUCAUCAAAUAUUUGUUCUUAUGUCCAAGGUCUUUUGUGUUUGUCACACCAGGGAGUUCAGGUAACCAGUAGGCAGUAUACAACAUGGCCUUCCAGCUGAGUAAGUGUUGACGGUAGAUAAGUCCAUCAAUAUAGCAUAAGAAAGAACUAAAAUUAGAAUACUAUCUAGCUAUAGGGGUUAUUACUAAUAGAAUUCCACGAGUUUUGGUAAUUGUCUAUUUUUAUAGGGGGUUAUUAGAAUUAAGAUAAAAGGAGAUCCACAUGUCAAAUUUAUAUAGAGAGAAUACGUGAAAAGUCAAUUUAGAAAUACUCUAGAAGACACAGGAAGACACCACUUGAAGGAUGGGACCCACUUGCCAUAGGGCAGGGGCGAGCACCCUACCUUGUCAAGGGCGACCGCCAGGAGAGUUUAGCCAAUGAGAGUGAACCUCGCGGAUCCUGCCUCCACCGACUUUGAGGAUUAAUCUUGAACGCACGUUUAAGUCGGUUUGAUCUAAGGGUUGUGGUGCUUCCUAGGGGGCUAUAAAUACAAGCCUACCCCCAUAGAAACUGUAAUUCAGAGAAGAAGAGUUCAGAAUUCUCUAAAGAAGAAUUAGACAGAGAGGGGUCCCUCGAAUGGAUCUAUCUCUAUAGGGUUCUUAGCCACCAUCUCAAUUAGAUCUCUAUAGUUUUAUAAACAUAGCUACAUAGGAAUAAAUCUAGAAGGAGUCAAGUUAAUCUUAGAGUCCGGAUCUAUUUUCGUUCUUGGUAAACUCUUAUUCUUCUUUGUUAUAUUUAUAUUAGUUCUUGCAACUAUAAAUAUGACUUUGAUCUAUUUGAUUAUAUUAGAAUUGACUUUAUUCUAUUUGCUUAUGUUCUUAAUUAUAUUAUUAUUAGUCUACUUUAAUUAUAUGCUUAGCGUAGUUAGAUUAGAAUUAUAUUUAUGUAUAGGAUCGUAUAGCGCUUACUCAUUAGACCGAUGGGUAAGUGAUAGAUAAUGUGUAGGCGAGGUGCCUAGACCGUAUUUAUCUGCGAUUACCUCUUAUAGUCUGGAGCUUGAGGUAGAUCGCAGGAGCGACAGUCCUGUUGAGUCUUUUGUAUUCCUUCUUCCGAUUAUAAGGAUUAUAGAGCACCAUUAUUACAGGGAAGUGAUUGCCAUGUUCAUGAUCUUUCUUGCUAAUAUCAUUAUGCAUAGAUAUAAUCUUUUCUAGCAAUGAUGUUAUGUGUACUUGCACUAAUCAAUGUAUGCUUUGACAAUAUAAUUAGAAUACUUAGGAUUUAUUCUUAUAGAUUAUCCUAAUACCAUGCUAGUGUUAUAGACUGAGAGUAAUCUAAUUGAGAUGAUUAUUAUGUUUAUCAUAUGGCUAUAAAUUCUUAUUUAUCAUAUGUCACUUAUUAUUCAUGUUCAUAUAUUUAUCUUAUGUGACAUUUACCCUGCAUGAGAGAUAGAUAAAGACAUGGUUAACAUCUCCAUGACUAACAUGCAGUGCUCAUUACUCAUUAUCUAUUGCAAGUUCGUUCCCGGUGGUAAAAAUAUAAAUAGUGAUACAUGGAUGACUCCCGGUUAAAAUGCUAUAUCGGUAUUAUCUGUGCGCUUGGAGAUCUUUUAUUUAUUUCUAGAAAAUCAUGUACAUUUAAUACCAACACUUCUACAUCAUGCUGGGGACGACAACCUGGCUUAAGUGAUGUAAAGUAAUUUUAACGCCGUUGCUAGAGAUAGGUUUAAAAGGCUAUUUUUAGUAGUUGCGUUAAGAAGUGUCAACAGUAAGAGGAUGUUUGGUUAGAGGUACUAAAAUUUAAUAGGUACUAUAACACAUUUGUAAUUAUAACAAUUAGUGUUCAACUAUGGACUAAUUAGGCUUAAAAAUUGUUUUGCAAAUUAUUCUCUAACUAUGUUCUAUAUUUACUCCCUCCGUCCUGGUAUAUAAGGCGUAAUCACCUCUACUUCAAAGACCAAGAACACAUUUAAUUCUGUCUCACAAAGUCACAACACUAGUGGUACUGCAUUUAUAUUUGUGAGAGAGCAUGCCUUAUAUUAUGAGACAUGAGCAAAAAGUGGUUAUGUCUUGUAUACUAGGACGGGGGAGUAAUACUUUAUGUAUGUAUCUAAUUUUCAAUGUGAUAGAGAUUAAAGUUUAUAAGAGGAAAACCAAACAGAGCCUAAAAAUGCUUAGGGCCUGUUUGUUUGCCUCUGAUUUUUUUAAUACUCAUCACAACGAAUGUUUGGACACAUACAAAAAGUAUAUAUAUAUAUAUAUAUAUAUAUAUAUAUAUAUAUAUAUAUAUAUAUAUAUAUAUAUAUAUAUAUAUAUAUAUUCACUAUAUCUUGUUAUUUACUCCCCUCGUUAUAUUUUCGCUAUACCUCAUCCAAACAAUCUUCGCUAUAUCUUGUUAUUUACUUCCUUCAUUCUAAAAUACAUGACAUUUUUUAACCUAGUUACAAACACAAGCACAUUGUUACUUACUCCUUUCGUUCAAAAAUAGAUGAUGUUUUUUAUUGUGAUACCUAGUUACAGACGCAGACUCUCACAAACACGAGCGCACACUCACCCUUAUGAACGUACGCACGUACACCCUACCCAUAUGAGCACAUCUGAAGAACUGAGUUGGACCAGCAAAUCUCAAGAUUGACGAAGUCACCACAGGCGUCUCACUGUUGACGGGCACGUCGCCUACCACUAAAAGCAUAGCGCUGUUAAAUCUUGAAAUAAAUCCAGAAAAAUGCGAGCCCCCGUAUUAAGUCGAGGACUUAAGUCCGGGUGGACAGAUUUUACUACAAGAAACACAACCGCUUGAUCUAUGAUCAGUUUGCUAAAAUAGAUGAUGUUAAAAGACGUGUGCUUGUCAAACUUUUUUUUUUACUUUAGUUAAGUUUGUAGAAAAUACGUGUAACAUACAUAUAUAUAUCUCUAAAUAAAUUUAUUAUAAAAGUAUAUUUUAAUGAUACUAAUUAUGUAUUAUAUAUACUUCUUUCAUAACCAUAAAGAAAGUCGAUUUGGACAAAGUUUGAGUUAAAUAUUGAGAACAUAAAUCAUAAAUAACUUUAAAGUUGUUGAAUUUGGAAAUAUGAAAAUCAUAUAAAUAGAUUUAUCUUGAAAAAUAUUUUUAUAAAAAUAUACAUAUAUCACUUUUUGAUAAAUAUUUUUAUAAAAAUAAGGAGUCAAAGUUAGGCUUUAGAGAUCAUAUCGUUGUUCUAAAUUUUUAUGGGUAUAGAGAGAGUAUUAAUUUUAUUUAAUAUAUAAUUGAUCAAAGUUAAAAAAAGAUUUACUUUUCAUAAGACAGAGUCAAUUUUAGCUAAGCCGAGAUCAUUCUAACAUGGACACGUCACCUUUUUCACGACGUUUGACUUGCUCAAAAGUUCAGUAUCUGUGAUGUACGCAGCGGGCGCAGCAACUUCACUUGGGCCUUGUUUAGUUCCUGAAAAAUUUUACAAAAUUUUUCAGAUUCUCCGUCACAUCGAAUCUUUAGACGUAUGCAUGGAGUAUUAAAUAUAAAUGAAAAUUAAAACUAAUUGCACAGUUUGGUCGGAAUUGACGAGACGAAUCUUUUGAGUCUAGUUAGUCUAUAAUUGGAUAAUAUUUGUCAAAUACAAACGAAAAUGCUAUUAUUACUAUUUUGCAAAAAAUUUUGGAAGUAAACAAGGCUUUGAUCCUCCUUCCUUCCUCCCCCCAAUCCCCCAGCAGGCUCUUGUCAUUGCCGAUCGACGGCGCGAACCGCAGCGUCGUCUGCUCCUCGAUUGUCCCGCCGCCGCCCCAGCUCGCCGAACAGGCGAACACCGACACGGCGCGGCCUCCGUCUCCAGGGCCCGCCGAUCCUGCAGAGAGGUAACUGCUGCUUCAUGGCUCCGUGCACUUGUCUGGCUUUAGAGGAAGGUUUGUGCCUGGAAGACCCAGGAGACGAGCGUGCGUAGGAUAACCUGGGCCUUCCUCCUAAUCCAGUAAUCCUCCUCGCGCGGCAUUCUUCGCAUCCGAUUCCUUUUCCCGCUCCGGACGCAGGCACGCGCGCCGGCAUUCCCUGUGGAAGACGCUUCGGCGCCGCUUGUCGCAUUCACGGGCGCAUCUCCGUGCUGUCCCGAAGCAUGCUUUGGCUUUGCCCUGCGUCCCAAGCUGUCGUGUCGGCGGUGCCGCCACCUCGGUAGCCAGUUCGGUAGGUGAGGGGAGGGAAGGUAACCACCGCUUACCUUACGCGGGUUUCCUUCCACUUCCACUCCCCUGUUUUGACUUCUUGCCAUCCGCCGGGUAGCUGCUGCUGCUGCGCGGAACGGGAUUUCCGGGUCGGAUGAGAUGAGGAGGCGCUGCGGCUGGCUCUCAUCUCUGUUCCGCCCUCGCCGGGCCGGCCGCUCGCUCCCGCAACCAGAUCCGCAGGGUCCCGAUUCCGAGCCCAAGGUAUAGCAACGGCCGCUGCAUUUCUUUCUUGCUGUGGUUGUUUGUUUGUUUGAUUGUUUCGGUAGGCUUUGCAAUAUAUAGGAUUGUUUGGUGGUUUCAUUAGCAUAGCCAAUCAGCUGUUGAUUUGAUUUCCCACUGAACAAAGAUUAAUUCAAGGUGCGUAUGCUGCAUUUGGUUUGUACAUAUUUUGCCUUUGCUCGCUGUUUAUUUUAGGGAAACUACGGCAACCAUUGAGGGUAUGAGGUUACCUUUUUGCUUUUUUGGAGUAGAUCUCACUCUGCUGAUCUUGUCUCUAUCAAAUACUGGUGAAGCCUCCUAGAUCCAAAUGCAACCCAUCGGGUUUGGGAGAUUCUGAGACAUGUUGGGCACUCGAGUACAGUCGAUCAUGCAGAACUUUUGAGAAGAUCAUACAUAACUUUUUCAUAUUUUUAGCUGAAGCAUGUGUCAGGCUGUCAGCUAUUACUUCAAAUAUCACAAACUAUCCCCCCCCCCACCCGCGCAGAUACAGGCCUAUCUUCUCGUUUAAUGAUGGGUUGUUAAUUUCUUUGUUUUAUUGUUAAGAGUAUAAGGCACCUCUUUGAUGUUAGCACAAAAUCCAAGAUGAACUGAACCAGUGUCUGCAAACAACAGGCAUGCUUACCAUGUUGCAUCAUAAUUAUGUCCUUUCCCUUUUUACUGUAUUACCAUGUGAUAGAAAACCAUGAUUUUAAGCAAAUAUUUGUGCAGAGUAAACUGAACAAAGACCAUGUGCCUUGUUAGGAGAUAGUAUUCUCCAUUUUUCUGUUUUCUGCUAUAAGCUUUGAAACUUUUUGAGCAAAUGUGGUUUCCCGAGAUCAACUUUUCUAUAUAACUUAAUAUAUUCAUACAAAACUUUUUCAUAUGUGCUAGGCACGUUAACAUUUUGCUUCUUGUGCAAUGUUGAGCAGGCAGUAGAUAAGCGCAGUGCUUCUGACGAAGUUACCAUGGAGAACAUUGUGUCAAACAGUGAUUUUUCUGAGGGUCUACAUUUGUGGCAACCAAAUAGUUGCCAUGCAUUUAUAGCCGUUGAAGGAUCAGGUUACCAUUAUGGUGUAAGGCCACAUUCAGGGUCAACCUAUGCUGUUCUUACUCAUCGCACACAGAGUUGGCAGGGGCUUGAGCAGGACAUAACGGAAAAGGUUACCCUUGGUACCGAGUACUUUGUUGCUGCAUAUGUCAGAGUUCAUGGGGAAGUUCAUGAGCCCAUUGGAGUUCAGGUCACUCUCAAACUUGAGGAGGGGUCUUCUACCAACUAUCUUUCUAUCGCAAGGUAUUUCGACAAUAAGCCACCAUUCAGUGUGUUGUUAAUAUAUCAUCAGCACUGUUUUAUCAUUAAGCAGUUUUUAUUAGGAUUUUGGCCUCACAAGAACGCUGGGAAAAGAUAGAAGGUUCAUUUAAUCUAACAACUCUACCAAGACGUUUAGUGUUCUACCUUGAAGGUCCCCCUCCUGGUGUGGACUUGCUCAUAGAUUCAGUCACCAUCUCGUACAAGGUAUUGCAAUGGAUCUCUUGCUUGCUUGCUUGUGUGUCUACAAUUGCUUGAUGGCCCUGGAAAAGGAAGAAUUAUUGUCUGCUGAAACGAUUUCUGAGAACAUGUCAUUUGAUCAUCCAGAACAUGUGCAAGGACUAUUGUUAAAAUUGAAGACAGCUUACAUUUUAGUUUUUGUUAAACAUACCCCUGACUUAGAUACUAAUUUGGUCUACUAGAUUCUCUGCCUUAUAGUCUUAUUAACUAUGGAUUUUCUUCAGAAAACAGAGGGGUCAGCUUCAUCAAUUGGUGGAACAGAGAACAUCAUUUUAAAUUAUGAUUUUUCUAAAGGCCUUCAUCCUUGGAAUCCCAUCUGCUGCCAUGCAUAUGUGGCAUCACAAUGGUCUGGUUUCCUUGAUGGUAUUAGAGGGAACUCAGGAGAGAACUAUGCUGUUGUUUCAAAGAGAACAGAACACUGGCAGGGUCUUGAGCAAGAUAUUACGAAUCAAGUGUCUAUAGGCACUGCUUAUGUAGUUUCUGCUUUCGUUAGAGUUGAUGGGAAUGUCCAAGGCCAGGUUGAAGUCAAAGGAACCCUUAGGUUGCAAAAUGCAGACGGAUCAACACAUUAUAACCCUGUUGGAAGGUAUUGUACUUAAUAAUUUUUCAACGGUCAAAUUCUUUUGACACUAUCCUUGGUUGAUGAUCGAAUUGAUGUAACAGUGUGGUUGCCUCAAAAGAAAAGUGGAACAAAUUGGAAGGCUCGUUUUCUUUGACAAACAUGCCAAAAAAUGUUGUAUUUUACCUGGAAGGACCUCCUGCUGGUGUGGAUCUUGUCAUUGAUUCUGUCACGAUUACUUGCUCCAGACAUAAACAGUCAAAAGUGAGUUCUUAUGUGCCUUUUGUAAUAUUUUGUUGAAUGAAAUUCUUGAUUUACCUUUUUUCUAAUCAAUAUCAUGCUAUGCACUUUUAUAUUUUUUCAGAAGUCUAAUGAAAAAAAUAAUCAGAACUUAACCUAAUUUACGCCUGAUCUUUCAUGGAGUGAUGAAAAAUUCUUUGUAAUCUCUAUUUUCAUUUACUUCUAAUGAAAUCGGUAUGAGGAAUGCAGUGCACAGGAUUUUACUGUCAACUUUCUGUUGUAUUGAUCUCCAUGUGCUCCAUAUUUAAUUUUGUGCACAUAUAUACCCUUUGGUUCUGGGGUCUUCAUUCAUUGUCUUAUGUCAUAAAAAAAGUGCAUGAACUCUUACAGCCUCGGUUUUGCUGAUUAAUGAUUCCUUUUGAAUUGAAGGAAGUAAAAGUACCAAGUGGAGCCGAGACUAUAAUUAAAAAUCCUCACUUCGAUGAUGGGUUAAAAAAUUGGUCAGGAAGAGGAUGCAAUAUCUGCAGACAUGAGUUCACUGCAUAUGGGGAUGUCCGGCCUUUAAAUGGCAGCUAUUUCGCUUCUGCAACUGGACGGGUUCACAAUUGGAAUGGCAUCCAGCAAGAGAUCACAGGCAGGGUGCAGCGGAAAGUUCUUUAUGAGAUCAGUUCUGCUGUUCGAAUAUUUGGGAGUGCCAAUGAUACUGAAGUGCGUGCUACUCUGUGGGUACAAGAAUAUGGUCGUGAGCGAUAUGUGGGACUUGCCAAGUAAGUUGUUUUUGUUUCUUGUUCUCUGUUGACAAUGCUCUUUUUAGGAGCCAAUGACACUAUUAUCUUACUACUUUUUUUCUAUAAUCAAAGAAACCAGACUUCUGAUAAGCAAUGGACACAUUUGAAAGGAAAGUUCCUUCUUCAUGCUCCCUUUACCAAAGCUGUUAUUUUCAUAGAAGGGCCUCCUGCUGGAAUUGACAUUCUUGUAGAUGGUCUUGUCUUAUCUCCAGCAAGAAAGCUACAAGCUGCACCGUGCCCAAAAAUUCAGGUUUGUAGGCUAAUGGCUUCUUAAAGUCUGAGAUUAUUUGCUUGUGAAUGAUCUCGAGUUCCCGACUCUUGAGACUUGUGAAGCCUUUAUUUUUGUUAUAACUUUCAUCUAUCAUGAUAUUGUAGAAGUGUCCUCUCUAAUUCAAGAAUAUUUACUAAAUAUUGCAGAACGUUCAGUAUGGAACUAAUCUAUUGCACAAUAAUGCCUUCACUCGUGGGCUUGCUGGGUGGAGUCCUAUGGGUUCAUGUCGAUUGAGUAUCCAGACUGAAGCACACCAUAUGCUAUCUUCUAUUUUGAAGGACCGUGCAAGUCAGAAACAUAUAAGUGGUCGUUAUAUCCUUGCCACGAACCGCACAGAUGUUUGGAUGGGUCCCUCUCAGGUCAUAACUGAUAAACUAAGGUUGCAUGUCACUUACAGAGUAUCUGCUUGGGUACGAGUUGGGUCUGGAGGACAUGGACGUCACCAUGUAAAUGUCUGUCUUGCUGUGGAUAACAACCAAUGGGUCAAUGGUGGGCAGGUGGAAGCUGAUGGGGAUCAAUGGUAUGAAAUCAAAGGAGCAUUCAAGCUUGAAAAGCAGCCAUCCAAAGUUACUGCAUAUGUUCAAGGCCCUCCGCCAGGUGUUGAUCUCAGAGUCAUGGACUUUCAAAUAUAUCCAGUCGACAGAAAAGCGCGGUUUGAGUAUCUGAAGGACAAAACAGACAAGGUAAACUUCAAUGCACUUCACAUUUUAGAUGUGAAUUCUUCCAAUUCAUAUAUGGCCGUGCAUGAUCCAACCAUUAUUUCAACAGUGGUGAUUUUAUUUAUUUAUUUAUUUACUUAUUUUGGCUUUGUUCACAAGACCCUAUCUAACCAAAUAAUGGCUUAGCAACCCUUAGUCAAGUUUGUUGAUAUAGUCUAUCCUUGAAGGGGCGUGUGUGUGGGGGGGGGGGGGGAUUGGGGGGGUGGGUGGUUAUGAAACCUUUUGACCGUUACUUAAUGCUCAGUGUCACUAGGUAAGAAAUUUGGAAUUUAUGAAGGCUUAGAGAUGAAACUUAGUAUUAGGUACCGUAGCCAAAAAAACUGAGGUCUUGUGGAACUAAACCUCCAGUUUGCUAAAUUUAUACUAUAUGAACUUUCUCGAUUCUGCUGACAGGUGAGAAAGCGUGAUGUUGUUCUAAAGUUCCAAGGAUCAAAUGCAGUGAAUCUUUUAGGUUCAUCUGUGAGGAUACAACAGACCGAGAAUAGCUUUCCAUUUGGAUCAUGCAUCGCGAGACACAACAUUGAGAACGAGGAUCUUGCUGAGUUUUUUGUGAAGAACUUCAAUUGGGCUGUAUUCGAGAAUGAAUUGAAAUGGUACCAUACAGAAGCAGAACAAGGGCGGCUUAAUUAUAAAGAUUCUGAUGAGUUGCUUGAAUUUUGUGAGAAACAUAAGAUACAGGUUCGUGGCCACUGUUUAUUCUGGGAAGUGGAAGACGCUGUCCAACCUUGGGUCCGGUCAUUGCAAGGCCACCACUUAAUGGCUGCCAUUCAAAAUCGUUUGCAAAGCCUGUUGUCAAGGUACAGAGGUCGAUUUAGACAUCACGAUGUAAACAAUGAGAUGCUACAUGGGUCUUUCUAUGAAGAUAGACUGGGAAGGGACAUUAGAGCUUACAUGUUCAGAGAAGCACAUAAGCUUGAUCCUUCUGCUGUCCUGUUUGUUAAUGAUUACAACGUUGAAGAUGGAUGUGACACAAAAUCUACCCCUGAGAAAUUCGUUGAACAGGUCGUUGAUCUCCAAGAACGGGGUGCCCCAGUUGGUGGGAUCGGUGUGCAAGGUCAUAUCAGCCAUCCAGUGGGAGAAAUCAUAUGCGAUUCCCUGGACAAGCUCGCCAUACUAGGUCUCCCGAUCUGGAUUACUGAAUUGGAUGUCACAGCAGAGAAUGAACACAUACGAGCUGAUGAUCUAGAGGUGUUCCUCCGCGAAGCAUUUGCACAUCCUGCUGUAGGGGGAAUCAUCCUUUGGGGAUUCUGGGAGAUGUUUAUGUUUCGAGAGCACGCGCAUCUGGUGGAUGCUGAUGGGACAAUCAACGAGGCUGGCAGAAGGUACCUUGCUCUCAAACAAGAGUGGCUGACCCGUACCAACGGCAAUGUCGAUCGCCAAGGAGAGUUUAAGUUCAGAGGAUACCAUGGUUCGUACACCGUGGAAGUGGACACGCCUUCAGGCAAGGUAGCUAGAUCGUUUGUUGUUGAUAAGGAUAGCCCGGUUCAGGUGAUCACUCUGAAUGUUUAAUGUGUGGGAAAUCAUGCACGUGUCCUGUAUUGUAGCGAGGUACUGAGGUGUUGAACACCGCAGGCCUUCAGUGUGUAUAGAAAAUGAGUAUUAAAAUAUUUUCACUUUUAUUCUCCGUUCUAUUUUUUGUGUGUGACUAUAACGAGUUAUUUACAUGAACAUACGGGGCAGAAUCUGGACACAACCUUGCAAGAUCAUUAAGGCCUCGUUCGGUUAUCAUCGAUCCAGGUCCAGAAUCAAUCCUGGCCAGUCUUUUUUUUCAGGAUUUUGAAUAACGCUGGAACUAUUUCUGGCCAAACGGCGCCUAACUGGACAUUUGGACAUGCGAACUGAGCGAACGAUUGGAUUUAUAUCAUUUCAUCACUCCCACACCUUUUUAGCUGACAUGGCACUUCAGGAAAAGUGCAAUAAACCUAACAUCAAGAUUUUUUUUACAGUUUUAUAGGAAUUAAAAUUUGUAUGGUGUUUAUGAAAUGAAUGCUUCCAGUAGAGUUUCGCUCGGUUUCCCAUACGUGAGGAAGAAACAAAAUACUCCUGAUGGAGUUUUACUCAAUUUUCAUUGCGUUGGAUAUGACUCUUGUAAUGUUUCAUCUAGAUAAAAACUCAUGUUCUCUCUUCAUAAUAACUAGCCGGGAUCCCCGUGCAGUUGCACGGGUUAGGAUCCAUUAGAAAAUACUAACGGGUGUAUACUAUUUAUUGAAUCCAUUACAAACGGGUGUAUACUAUUUAUUGAAUCCGUUACAGUUGAACAUAACGGGUACAUACUAUUAAUUGGAUCCGUUACUAUUUAGCAUAACGGGUGUACUGUUCACAGGAAGAUAACGGGUACACUGUUCACUGGAUCCAAUCCGUUAGUGUUGUACUUAACGGGUGUACUGUUCAUAGAAUCCGUUACUGUUCUACUUAACGGGUGUACUGUUCAUAUAAUCCGUUACUGUUAAUGUACAGUAAAUUGUGAGAGAGGCAGUGGUAUACAAUUAUAAGGGUAAUUAUAAGGGUAAGGAGUAGAUUUCUAUGCCACACUAUCAUUUUUAGUAAUGUGUUAUCUCAUUAAAUAAGAAUGGAACUCUUGUUAGUCACUAGGACUAGCAUUAAUCCACAACUAAGCAAAAUGUUGAAGAAAAAAAUUUAUACCCGUUCCAAAUGAUAGUCCAUGUGACAUCCGGGUCUUUCAAUGGUGACAAAGACCAUUCCAAUGGCAAGAAAGGUAAACGACAACAGCAUACACAACUAACCGGCAAAUGUUGAUAAGAAAAAAAAAUUGUGCUUACUCUUAAUGCCAUGACCUGAUCUUGCCAAUAGAUCCACGUCACAUAGAUCAAUAUAAAUAAACCAUAAUAAGCAUACUUAAGACACUCCAAAACAAAAAAAAAAGAUAAUUUCUAUAUUUAUUAAUUAUAAAGUGUCAAUUAAGUAAAAACAUUAGGUGACUGUAAUUAUAGAAGAGAAAUAAGGAAGAUAAUAUAGUGAUGAGUAGUCGAUGGAAAACGAAGAUAUAUAAUUUCAUAAAAAAUAUUCUAUAGAAAUUAUUUAUUGGAAAAGUAGCUAUGUGUAGUGUCUAAUAAAUAAAUAAAUUAUGAGGUAUGGAAAGACAAUUAAUGCCUCUCCGACGAGCGCCUGAGAGGUUGGUCUGCGCUCUCGGUUCCGGCUUUCCGCCCAAACAGCCGUCGGCCCGUCGCGCGGCCGCCCUGCCGGAGGUCCGCCGAGCCCGGUGUUAAGAGGUACGUCAUACUACGCACGCUAUAACCCGAGCCGAUUGAUCGAGGCGCGCCAUCGCCCUGGAACUGCGAGCGAUUCGCGUCGUCUGUUUGCUAGGCUUCCUCCCCCUCUGAUACUACUAUCCGCGUCCUGUGUUUACUCCAUCCACUGUUGUCAGUAGUUGGUGUGGUAACGGGGAAUUCGAGGAUUGCAAAUCCUCUUGAAAAAUUAACCCAACGAGUAUUACACUAGCUCUUUUUUUCCCCACUCUUGUACCGGCCUGUCAUAAAUAAGAGCUUCUUUUAGAUAAAAUAAAUAGGUAAAAUAUUUUUGUGUGCAGAAGUUUCUCGGUUUCUCUUCGCAAGAGAAACCUUAUCCAUUUCCUUAUGUUUCCAGUACGUCUGGUUCAUUGUUCAUGGCGUGCAACUAACUGAUCAACUGAACUUUGUGAACUAUACCUGCAGACGAGUCCUCAAAUGCUGUGAUUGGUAACAUCUAAAAUUAGUGUAAGCUGCUGUAACAAUGGAAGAGGUUCAAAACUGUGUGAUGAAGCUGGUUAGUGCUUUGCAGAACUUCAUAUUUCUCCUGUGAAUUAUGGCUUGGUCGCUUCAAUCUGACUGCUACUACUUCCACUGGACAGCGGAGCAAUCCAACGCGGCACAGGGAUAAAGUGUAUGUCGGCUGUGGGGCUGGGUUUGGUGGUGACAGGCCAAUGGCAGCUCUUAAGUUGCUGCAGAGAGUCAAGGAGCUUAACUACCUAGUUCUCGAGUGUUUGGCAGAGCGAACUCUGGCAGAUCGGUACCGGAUUUUGGUGUCAGGAGGCAAAGGAUACGACCCUAGGGGUAUCUUCUUGACAAUUGUUGCUUCUAAUGUUCUUGAUUCAAUUCUUGACCAAUGGAGGUGACACCUGUUAUCUUCCUUAGUGCUUAUGUGACUAUUUUAAAUUACCAAAUUGCGCACCUUUUUAUGGCCAUAUGCAGUCAAAGAGUGGAUGUCUUUGCUUCUACCCUUGGCUUUUGAACGGAAAGUUUGCAUCAUAACUAACAUGGGGGCAAGUAAGAUAUUUCUGGCUGUGGUGCAACUUUAGUGUUGAUUCUUUUUUCACUUUUUUUUACCUGUUUCUUCCUGUUAUGUUAGUGGAUCCUCUUGGGGCACAGAAAGAAGUACUGAACCUGGCAUCUAUCUUGGGACUGGAGAUAACAGUCGCCGUAGCUUAUGAAUCAUCCUUUAAAACUCAAGGUAUUUUUCAUUUGUUUGAUAGUGCCAAGCAACAUGAAGCCCUAGGUGCUACAUCUGUAUGCUUCUUAAAAAUUUCCAAUCAUGAUUGGUUUGUCUGCAAUGUAGAAACUGAUAAUAAAGAUUGGAUGAUAUCUCAAAAAUGCAAUCAACUUUGAAUAUGUUCUAAUUGCUUUUCUUAAUUUUGCCUGUUUUUGUAGGAAGCCCUGUAUUGUCCGAUGAAUCAACAGGAGGAAGAGGGGUAAUUUACUGAUCACUUGAGAUCCUCUCAACAUUAAUUAUCAUUCAUGUGCUUGACUUCAGUUUAAUACAAUUAAAUGAUGAUUCUUAUGGCCCCUUGAUCAAAGAAACUAUUUCCAUUCUAUAUGUUCUUCUGAUUCUUUAUAAUGAAAAAAGCCUGUGGGAUCUCUAGUUUGAGUUUUAUUUGUUCUGCUGAAAGGUCCAAGUCAGAAAAUGUAAUGGUUAAUUUUGCUAUAGGCGGCUCUAGAAUAUAAUAAGAAAUUAAGAUUACUUCAAAUAGACAUGUUGUGGUCCAGGCUUCAUGUGUGGCUGAGGACAUCAGCCCAUGCGUGUAAAUGUAUUUGUGUAUCUGUGAUGAGGAGCAGAGAAUGGUCUUGAUUUGAAUCCAAAAACAUCCUAAAAAAAUAUGAAAGGUAAAUGUAAUCUGCAGAAUCCCAAUUUUUAUUUGCUUCACACAAAUGAAUUAUGCAUCUCAACCUGGUGAAUGAAUUGCACACAUUUUACUAGCUUACUGAUUAGCAACCAACCAGCCUAAAUCUGGUGUAGGGUACUCCAUGACAUGAAAGUACUAACAUCCCCCUUGAUACAAUUAUGUUUUACCAUAUUAUACCACCUGUUGCCUAAUGUCACUUCACAUGGAUACUAUAACUAUCCUUGUAGCCACGUUUGAGUUUAAGUACAAAAUGAGUGACCUUUAUCAUGUGUGGUAUCUGUUUUUCUUAGUGAGUCUUACCCUAUGAUACGGUGUGGUCUAUGAGGGGUGUGUAAGGGAGAAUGGAGAAGUGAUUGGAACUGAGGGUUGGAGCGAAGGGGAUAGCGAGGCAGCAGCACAGUGGAGAGUUCGCCGGUGGCAGCGGCUGAACCGCGUGCAGCCACCGUCGAAGAGAAACACCCACCACUCGGAAGUCUAUUCUUCUUCGAUGAUCCCUAUUACAUUCUCUAAGUGCCACUUAUAGAGUUGCAGCACUUCCUAACUACGCACCUCCUUGAUCCAUUGCAUGAGCAGGACCAAUUCCUAACCGCUCACCUCUCUGCAUAAUGUCUAAAAAUAACCCAGCAGCCUAGCUACUGGUUGGUGGACGCUUGGUCUGUGGACUCUUAGUACGGCGCCUAUAUUGGCAGCCUAACCUAAAAAGGAGUCCGCAACAUUUCCCCCCUCCCCAGCAAACAGCUCGUCCGUGAGCUGAAAUUCAGGAUAGCGCUUGUUGAACUUUGCAAUCGGCUCCCAAGUCACCUUGGAAGGAGUAGGCACCACGCGACCAUGCAAGAUGGACGGCAGCGGCUCGGUGGUCGCUGGUGGCUCCACUGUACUUCAGCAAGGCCACAUGGAACACGUUGUGGAUGCGGGCCUUGGGAGGAAGACGGAGCUUGUAUGCCAUGGCGCCAUCCUCUCUGUAAUCUAGUAAGGGCCAAAGUAGUGAGGCCCUAGCUUGGAGGAGGAAGCUGCUGUGAUGCCAAUAGCCGUACAUUGCUGUAGCCGGAGCCACACACAAUCUCCGAUGGCGAAGUCGACCUGGCGUCUCUUCUUGUUCUGGUGCUCUUUCAUGACAUCCUGGGCGAGCAGCAGACGCUCACGGAUUUCCUCCAGGAAGGCGUCACGAUCGCGGAGCUGCUGGUUGACUGCAGCGACCUUAGCUGUCCCCGGUGUGUAGGACAUCAAGGUCUGUGGGGGUUCGGCCGUAGACAACCUCGAAGGGAGUGGUGCGGAGCGCGGACUAAUGUGGAGUGUUGAAGCAAUAUUCAGCCCAUGGCAGCCACUGUAGCCAUGAACGCGGACGGUCAUCAGCGAGGCACCGCAGAUAUGUGACGGUGACGAUGAUGCUGUUGGUCACCACGGACUGGUCGUCCGUCUAUGGAUGAAAGGCAGAGCUCCGGAGCAGCUUGACCCCGGUCAGCUUGAAGAGUUCCUCCCAAAACUGGGAGGUGAAGACCAUCCCCGGUCACUCACAAUGGAGUACGGGAACCCAUGGAAGCGCACAAUGUCGUCGAAGAAGGCGCGAGGAACAGACUGCGCCGAAUAGGGGUGGCUGAGGGCGAUGAAAUGCGCCAUCUUGGAGAAUCGGUCAACGAUGGUGAGGAUGACUGACUUCCCGCCAACACGUGGAAACCCCUUGACGAAGUCCAUGGCAAUGUCGCUCCACACGUUAGCUGGGACUGGCAGCAGCUGGAGAAGGCCGACUGGGUGCAGGUGCUCUAUUUUGUUUCUCUGGCAGACAGAGCAAGCUGCAAAUGAAGUCCCGGACGAAGCGAUGGCUGUAGGUGUUGUAGAAGGUUGCUCGCAGUCGAUGCAAUGUCUUCUGUGCGCCCUCGUGCCCAGCCUCAUGGGCAUCCCGCAGGAGUUCAGGCCAAAGCGCCGAGUCAUCCGGCACGAAGAGGCGGCCCUGGAACAGCAGCAUGUCAUCUACCAAUGCCCAACCGGCCGGGGCGGUACUAGCUGUGAGCUGGGCACGGAUGGCCUGCGCCUGGCCAUCGGUCUGCAGCUCUGCCUGCAGGGCAUCAUACAUAGUGAAGAUGGAUGUAGAGAUGGCCCGAACUGCAGGGCUGUCCUCGUCACGGCAAGCAGCACGUCUGCCACCGUGUUCAGCUUCCCGGGGCGGUACUCAACGGUGAUGUCGUAGCCGAACAGCUUGGUCACCCACGUGUGUCGUGGAAUUGUCGUCAGGCGCUGGUCGAGGAUGAACUUGAGACUCCAAUGGUCUGUGCGGACUGUGAACACACGACCCCAGAGAUAGGGCCGCCAAUGACGAACCGCCUUGACCAGCCCGAUGAGCUUGCGCUCAUAGGCUGGGAGCUUGGCAUGGUGGGCUGGGACAGUGCUACUGAAGUAAGCCAUGGCACAUCACCUUGGUGGAGCACCGCACUGAACCUAGCCCCUGACGCGUCGCAGUCCACGAUGAAGCACUUGCUGAAGUCUGGAAGUUGUAGCAGGGGCGCGGAGAUUAGCGCCGUCUUGAGGGUGAGAAAGGCUGCCUUCGCUUCAGGCAUCCAAGAGAAGGCCUCCCGUUUGAGGAGGGCUGUUAAUGGCCCAUCCACACCGCUGUACCCACGAUGAACUUCCGAUAGUAACCGGUGAGGCUGAGGAACCCUCAAGGCACGAGCUAUGUGAGGCCGGGGCCAUGCCUCAACCGCCUCCACCUCCACCGGAUCCAUGGCGACACCCACGGCUGAGAUGAUGUGCCUGAGGUAUGCCACCAAUGGCUCGCCGAAGAAACAUUUGGAGCGCUUGCCGAAGAGGUGAUGCUGGCGCAUCUGCUGCAGCACGAUGCGCACAUGCUGCAAAUGCUCUGCCCAAGAUGAGCUAAAGAUCAAAAUAUCAUCAAAAAACACAAGCACAAAAUGGCGGAUAUAGGGCUUCAAGAUGUCGUUCAUGAGUGCUUUAAAGGUCGCUAGCGCGUUGGUGAGGCUGAAGGGCAUGACUAGGAACUAGAAAUGACUGGGGUGCGUGUGGAAUGCGGUCUUGGCGAUGUUGUCUGGGUGCAUGCGCACCUGGUGGUACCCGCUGCGGAGGUCGAUCUUGGUGAAGAAGCGGGCGCCCUUCAGCUCAUCGAGGAGGUUGUCAAGCACCGAGAUCGGGAAUUUGUCCUUGACGGUGGCGUUGUUGAGGGCACUAUAGUCGACACAGAAGCGCUAGCUUUCGUUGUGCUUGUGGACCAGGAGCACCGGGGAGGAAAAUGGUGAGGUCGACUUCCUGAUAAUCCCACGUCUUCGCAUUGUCGCUCGAUCUCAUCCUUGUGGAGCCACGGAUACCGGUAUGGACGUAUCGCCGCUGGUGCAGAGCCUGGCAGAAGAUGAAUCCGAUGAUCGAUCUUGGUAGCAUGCCGGUGGCAGGCCGCGUGGCUCCUCGAAGAUGUUCUGAUAGGACUGCAACAGCUCUAGGAUAGGCAGGGGUCAGCGACGGCACGAGCUGCCACCCUGUUGCUGCCCAGACCAGUCUAGUGAUGGGACCGGCCAUUGUACCAAAAGGACAUCGCCAGGGCGCCUAAGUCCCAAACGAUAGACCCCAAUGUCCGCAGCCACUGGACGCCAAGGACAAGGUCAAACCCGACCAAGUCUAGGGCAAAGCAGUCAAUGGAGAAGGCCUCAUCGCCAAUGGUGACACCGGUAGCAAGGCAGACUCUCGGGAUAUGCACCCGGUUGGCAUUGGCCACCAUCGUGUUCAGGGCCAUCACGUAGAGUGACGGUGAGGCCCAAGCGUUGUGCGAGCGCUGAAUGGAUGAACGUGUGAGUGGAUCCGGUGUCCACCAGCGCCCGCAGUUGUUCCCCGCCCACGGUAAACCGGUAGCAUCAUAGAAUCACCGUGGCCGAGGCCAGUUAGCGUCUGGAGGGAAAUCUCCAAGUCCGUGAUCUCGUUGAGGGUUCAUCCUCGCCGUCUGGCAAUUCCAAAGGAAGACGCCCUUGGCAGCGCACUUGUAAUCCUUGUUGUACGGCUCUGGGCAAAAGUAGCACUGGCCGCUCUGGCGUUUCUCAUGCAUCUCCACCGGCCGCGUACCCUCUGCCUUGCCCUCAUGCACCAUGGCGCCGGAGGCAGUAGUAGUGGCCGACGUAGUUGCACGACAGCCAGACCCUUUUGGCGCUACCAAAUUGUUGACAGUAGGGGCCUUAGCUUGGUGUUGCUCAAAUGCCCGCGCGAGGCUCAUAACCUUCUGAAGAUCGGCAGGGUGCUGCAUCUCGACGUCGUGGGCCAGCGGCUGGCCCAAGCCGCCGUUGUACAGAUCGAUCACUGUCCGCGGGGCGAGGUUGUCGCAAUGCGUGAGCAGGCCAAGGAAGCCCCGUGAGUAGUCCUCCACAGUGCCCGUACGGACCAAGGCCUUGAUCUCCGCAAUUGAGUUGGUGCGGAUCGGCAGCCCGAAGCGGAGGUUGACGAACUCGACAAAACGUGGCCACAGAACCUUGCCGAAGUCGCGUUCUAUCUAGUAGUAGCAUUCCUCCACGGUGCCGUCGAGGUACAGAGAAGCCAUCGGCAGCUUCUCAUCCUCUCGAACACGAUGAUUGCGGAAGAAAUUUUCACAUUUGUUCAGCCAGGUCAGGGAUAUGCCUCACCAUUAAAGGUCGAGAAGGGAAUUUUGGGUGGCCUGCGCGGCUCGCGGUGUGGGUUGAGGAAGCGGCGGCCGCCGCUAUCGUAGCCAUGGUCAUGGUCGCGGCCAGCACGCCCGUAGUCGUGGCUUCCCCGGUCAAAGUCAUGGUCAGCGUAGUCGUCGUAGUCACGGCUGCUGCGGUCAAAGCUGCGCCAGCCGCGAUCGAAACCACGCCAGCUGCGGUCGUGGUAGGUGCGCCAGCCGCGGUCAUCGUAGGUGCGCCCACCACGGUCCUCGUAGCCGCGCCCGCUGCGGUCGUCGUAGCUGCGUCCGCCGCGGUUGUAGAAGUCGCGAUCAAACACGUGGCGGUCAGAUGCGCCGGUCGAGGUCGUGAUCGCAGCGCUUCCGCUCGCGAAGUGCGCGAUCGCAGAACGAAGCCCAGGUGCGGUCGCGCUCGGGGUCUUGCACGUCGUCAUCCGUGUCGUCACGAUAGGCGUCGGCAUUGCCACCGUGGUCCUCGGCCCCGCUGGCGCCCUUGCUGGCAUCAUGCUUGCUGGACUCAAUGCGUGCCAUCCGCUGGUCGUGGGAGCUGAGGCGGUUGGUGAUGGUGGUAAGCUGGGCGAACAUGUGAUUGAAUUUUGCAUCCAGCCACGCCUCCAGGGCCACAGGAUCGAAGGGAGUGCCGGACAUGGUAGUCGAUGCACUCGGAAUGGGCUCUGAUACCAAAUUGAUACGGCGUGGUGUAUGAGGGGUGUGGAAGGGAGAAUGGAGAAGUGAUUGGAACUGAGGGUUGGAGUGAAGGGGAUAGCAAGGCAGCGGCGCAAUGGAGAGUUCGCCGGCGGCAGCGGCUGAACCGCACGCAGCCACCGUCGAAGAGGAACCCCCACCACUCCGGGAGGUCUAUUCUUCUUCGAUGCUCCUUAUUACAUUCUCUAAGUGCCACUUAUAGAGUUGCAGCACUUCCUAACUACGCACCUCCUUGAUCCAUUGCAUAAGCAGGACCAUUUCCCAACCACUCACCUCUCUGCAUGAUGUCUAAAAAUAACCUAGCAGCCUAGUGGUUGGUGGACGCUUGGUCUGUGGACGCUUAGUCCGGCACCUAUAUUGGCGGCCUAAAAAGGAGUCCACAACACCCUAUGCCUAGGUAGUAGGUAUAUGUCUUUUAAUUGUACAAUACAUUCUGCACACAAAUAACAUUGAUGUGAGGUUUCCCAUACAUAGUCAGUGUAGGAUGCCAUCAAAUAAAAAAAACUAUCAUUAGAAGUAAGUAACAAUUACAUGUAGUGGAUACGUUUAAGCAAUUCUACCUCAAUUAUGCAUAUCUUGGAUCUUUUGAUUAAUACUUAUUUUUUGCUUUAUCUUGAUGCCAGGGAUUUUAUAAUCUGUCAUGUUUUAUCUUACUGUUUUUUUUUAAUGUAAAGGGAAGUAGCACAUAUCUUGGGGCAGCUUCAAUUGUACAUUGCUUGGAAAACUAUAAACCACAUGUUGUAAUUACUUCACGGGUUGCUGAUGCUUCGCUCUUCUUAGCACCUAUGGUAUAGUAUUCAAGUUUAAUCUAUCACUCUCAUUUUUGCUAUUGAUGUAAUGCCCUUUUUUUUUAUCGAAAACGCAGGAGAGCUGCGCUUCAUUAGUAAUGCCCUUUUUCGUUUAAUACUAUUUAUGCAAGGUGAACAUGAUGAAUUUGUGUGAUCAAAUAUUAAGCUACCUUUGCCUUUCCUUUCUUGGUUUGUGUAUCGUUAUUUUUUUUCUUCCUAAUCUGAGCACUGUACUGUUUAAGGAUCAUAUGCAUAUGUAUUGAAAAAUCUUGAUGAGAUGAUAUAGCUCAAAUGUCUGUGUUAUAUGCCUGAAUAGGAGUUGUGUGACUAGGCAAUUUUCGAGCCACAGAUAUUAGCAGGACCAAUUUGCUCUCUCUUUCUGAUUCUUUGGAAAACAACCAGUUUUUUAGGGCACUUUGCAAAACAAUCACUUGAUUUAUAAGAAUAACCAGCUCAAGUUAUACCAUGUUUGGUUGUCCAAAUGUGAGUUUGGGUCAGAACAUGUACUCAAAUUUGUACUAAUUGUAUUAUUCUGCAUGUGCGAUAUUAUUUUUGUUUCUAUAGAUUGCACCAUAUAAUGAAGUCAAUCCAGUCUGAGCACAGAUUUUUUCAUGUGACAGUGAUUUAUCUCUUUUACUUCCCUUUUCAACACUACAUACAAGAAUAACAGCUCAAGUUAUACGUUUGAUUGUCAGAACAUGAGUUUGGCUUGGACCAAGUACAUUCUUUUCUACUAAUCAUAUUGUUCACCGCUUUGGACUAUUUUUAUUGGACACAAAAGUGAAGUUAAUCCAGAACAUCUGAACACAAAUGUUUUCAUGCGAGAGUUAAUGAUUUAUCUCUUUUACCUCCCUUUUCAACACUAGAUCUAUGAAUUAGGUUGGAACUGGAAUGACAUGCAGUUGGCACAAGGAACAUUAGCAUGCCAUCUUCUAGAGUGUGGCUGCCAACUCACUGGAGGAUAUUUCAUGCACCCUGGUACACUUUUCUUUCCUUCCAAAAUAAUUAGGCCUUCUCUUUUAACCGUAGCCAUGAUUUGUGUUCAUUGUAUGGUCUGUUUGUGAUGUCAUAAAAAGCAGGAGAUGCACACAGGGAUUUUCCUUUUGAACAACUUCUGGAUUUGUCUCUCCCAUUUGCUGAAGUUAGUUACAGAGGAGAAGUCAUUGUCAGUAAGGCAGAUGGCAGUGGAGGCCUUUUGAGUCCCCAUACAUGUGCUGAACAGCUUCUUUAUGAAGUUGGAGAUCCUGCAAACUACAUAACUCCUGAUAUGGUGAAGUCAAAAACCAAUUACAGUUACAAUCAUAGCUAGCUUCUUAUCGAAAUAUUGAUUAUAUUUUGCUGGAGCAGGUUGUGGAUUUCUGUAAUGUACAGUUCCACCAAAUAUCAAAAGACAAGGUCCGCUGUGAUGGAGCAAAACCAUCUAAUGCUUGUUGCCCUGAGAAACUCCUGCAGUUAUCUCCUACUGUAUGUAUUCCUUGAUAAUUAAUUGGUACAAACUUUAAGUUUAUCUUUUAGUUCUUCCUACAUAGAACUUGAUUGUGAUCUAUGACCACAAAGACUUGCAUAAUGAGCAGCAUAGUUUUAAUCAGGGAUAUAAAUUCUCCCUUUUCAAAAUACCAUGCCCAGUAAGCAGCUGAAAACUGACUGGUAUAUGUUGUUUCCUAAUUGAACAUAUAGGUCUUCUGAAAAUUUUUUCUUUAAAAUGUCUGUCCUUUCAGUAUUAUAAGACUUGCCAAUGCAUUUUGUUGAACUUACUAUUUAGAUAAACCAAAACCAGGAUGUUACAGUAACUUGUGGACCUUGAGAGCGAACAGCUCUCGGUAAUUCUUUGAUUAUGGAGUGAGAGGACGUGUUACAUAUAGAGGUGAGGAGAUCGUGAGGCUUAUGGGAACAGUGCCAGUCAAGAUCUCUAAACACUCUGAGCCAACCACAGCUGGUCAAGCACUCCUACAGUUAAGGCACAACAUAACCAGUCAAGGGAUUCCUCUAAUCACUCUGAACCAAGGGAGGGACACGCCUAUUCUAACACUCCCCCACUUUGCACGUUUAGACUGGACUUGAACUCCAUGAAUACUGAAGAAGGCAGCCCUUUGGUGAAGAUAUCUACGUAAUGUGAAGAGGUGGGAACAUGCAGAACACGAAGAUCACCAAUGUCGACUCGCUCCCGGAUGAAGUGGAGAUCGAUCUCAAUGUGCUUGGUUCACUGAUGCUGAAUCGGGUUGGAGGUCAUGUAGACGGCAAUGAUGUUGUUGCAAUACACCAGUGUGGCGCGCCGGAGAGGGGCAUGCAGCUCUAGAAGAAGCUGGCGCAGCCAGGUGGCCUCAGCAACUCCAUUUGCCACCGCGCAAUACUCGGCUUCGGCACUGGAUCUUGACACCAUGUUCUGACGCUUGGAGGACCAGGAGAUGGGAUUGUCACCGAGAAACACGGCAUAGGCUGAGGUGGACUUGCGUGUGUCGGAACAACCUUCCCAAUCGGCGUCAGUGUAGGUAGACGGCCGCAGCAGGAGACCAAGAUGGAGGGUGUUAGAGAGCGAGCAGGCAGCAGCGUGCACGGAUCAGGGAGCAUGCAGAGGCUGAGCAGGGAAGAGAACAUGCAGCCGCACGCAUGGAUCAGGAAUGGAUCAGGGAAGAAGUGCGUGCAAUGCUGAGAGGUGACUAGGAUGAAGGAGAGCCAACCAAGGGCAUUAGCUAUAUUUAGGAGUGAUUAACCGGGACCCUGGCAAGGCAAGCAACAGAUUAGAAGGAAAUUCCUUCCUCUUGACCGGCCGUGGGCAGAGCCCCGCGGCUGGAUUCCCCUCAACCACGCAGCCCCAACCACGUCCAGAACAAUCUGGUAAUCGGAGCUCAGGCCUUGAUCCGCCCCCCGCCACCCCUGCUGCGCUGGCCAUGUUCCUCACCACUGCAGCCAUGGCUGGUCCUGGUUCACUCGCCGCACCGCCAGUGUUCACCACAACCAUGGCCACCGUGGUGCCACUACCUGCACAUCAGCCUGUGCCUUCCCCGGAUGCCUUCAACGCGUUGAGGGCGGCCAUCUACGGCCUGCAAUGCCAGAUGGGGGAGUUGUUGGCGCGCCUGGCGGCCGUCACGAGUCGAACAUCGCCCUCUGCACCACCGCCUAUACCGUAUGGCCUGCUAGGGUUCGGGGGCAUCUCGGCCCUUCCGACGUCGGUUCCGAUAAUUUCGGAGGUCUUCUCUACGCGGCAAGUCCUGCCUGCGAGUUCAACGCCUGGCCCUUUCCCACAGCCAGUCAGCUGGGCGCCGCCGCAACCGGCCAGCGGGCUCCUGACUGCCAAGGAGAGCAGCAGUCCGGCGCCGCUUUCCUCCUCUCCUUCACCGAUCCCAUCAUUCACAGCCCCCAACCUUGUGCCGCCACAGCAACACUGCGAUGGCGUCUUCUAUGGGGGCGUAGAUGGCAUCCAAGCAACGACGUCGGAGCUGCAAGCGGCGGUGCGCUGCCUUCUGGCGUGCCAACAGGGUCAGCGCCCCAUCUUCAAGCAGCGACGCCCAAUCGUCUCUGCAGCGACAAUCUUGCAGUAGCUCGCGGAGAGGAAGGUGAUUGCACGGGCGAGUGCCUGCAAGGUGUCUGCGGCGGUAGGCUGCGGCGCGGCCUCCUAUUGCGCCGGUGGCUGCAGGAGAUGUGCUAGCCUAUGCACGAGGCGACCUUAGCGACGGUCGACCUCAUCACAGGAUGGCCACCAACAAGCGCGCCGACCCAUUGCUAUCUUUCGGCACGAGUAUGGUGUUUUUCCCGUGGGCAGCGACCUCCAACUCUGUGGCAGCGGUGGUAGUGGAGCCGCUCCCCUCCUUGUCAUCAGCGGGGACGCACUGCUUAGCGCCUAUUAGGAUAUGUAUAUAUCAGGAUCAAUUAGAGAUUGAUUGGCAAUCCCCUAGAUAGGCUAGCUGCCAUGUAUAGCCUAGGAUUGUUUCUAUUUAUAGCCUAGGAUUGUUUCCUUGUACAGGGAAUAGCUUCCUAUGUAUGUAACUUCCAUGCAUGCCCAUUGGCUAUAUAUAUGAAAGGCUCCCCACCCACAAUGGGUGUGUGGUGAUUCCCUCCAUUCUAUUCCCUUCUACAUGGUAUCAAGCUAUUUUUAGGUCCUCUCCCUCCCUCCCAUCGCACCAGCCCUCCCUGCUGCGCUGCCCCCCCUCCUAGGUCGCCAUGACCGAUUCUGCCUCCAGCUCCACCACGUCCUCCAGCUCCUCGAGCAGCAUGAACACCCUCUCUGCUCCUGCUGUGUUCGUCGCCCCCUAUGCGACGAUCAACGUCAAAAACCACAUCCCGAUGACCCUUGAACUGAUGAAGCCCAACUUCAAUCAGUGGGAACCGUUCUUCACCUCUCUUUGCGGGAAAUUCGGUCUCCUUCCACACGUCGACGGCACGGAGGCGGCCAGACCUGUCGAUCCUGCUUGGGCCAUUGCUGACGCCUGCGUCCGCAGCUGGCUGCUCGGUUCUGUCGGGCCAGACGUCAUCGGCCUGGCUGUGGUGCCGAACCAGACUGCGCGCGAGCUCUGGGUCGCCAUCAAGCGCCUCUUCGAGGCCAACAAGGCUCCGCGUGCCAUCUUCUUGGGUCACGAGUUUCACUCCAUGACGCAGGGCGAUUCCUCCAUCAACGACUACGCGCAGCGGAUGAAGGCCACCGCCGACGCGCUCCGCGAUGUCGGGCGCACCAUCACCGACUCAGAGCUCGUCCUCAACUUCCUCCGCGGCCUCAACCCCUGCUUUGCCAGCACCGCCGACAACAUCGCUGACUCGCACCCGCUGCCGGACUUCGCCACCACUCGCGAGAAGCUCGUGCUGAAGGAGCUCCGCCUCUCCAACGAGGGCACCGUUGCGGCCCAGACAGCAUUUCACGCUGCGUGCGGUACCGGCUGCCGCACCAGCACCACCGGCGGCGGCCCCAUCGCCGGUCAUCAGGGCGGCUACGGCGGCAGUUCCAGCAACGGUGGCGGUCAGGGCAGCAGCAAUGGUCGCUGGAAGAAGGGCAAGGGCAGCGGCGGCUCCAGCAGCGGUGGCGGGCACAGGGCGCCUGCACCGGCGGCCCCUUGGUACUGCUACCCUCCCUAGACCGCCGGGGUGCACCAGCAGCCCUGGCGCCCGCAGCCGCCGGCGACAAACCAGGCCUGGCGCGGCCCUAGGAUCCUCGGCACCUUCCCUCAGGCCCAGGCGCACACUGCGUUCGCCCCUGCCCAGUUCUCCGACACCUCCGCACCAUCCCCGCAGCAGCAUGGUGGCUGGGAUCAGGCCGGCCUCGUCGCUGCCCUGAACCAGAUGUCCCUCCAGGGGCCUUGUCCCUGGGUCCUCGACACCGGCGCGACAACUCACAUGUCAUCGUCGGAUGGUAUACUCCUCUCCAGUCUCCCCCCUCCUCCCUCCGGUAUAACAGUUGGCAAUGGCACCACCAUCCCUGUCACCUGCAGUGGCACAUCCACACUCUCUUCCCCAAACUCUAUUUUCCACCUUAACAAUGUUCUGGUUGCCCCUGCUCUGGUGCGCAACCUCCUUUCUGUUCGUCAAUUCACCUGUGACAAUGCUUGUUCCAUUGAAUUUGACGCUUGUGGCUUUUCUGUCAAGGACCAACAGACGGGGCGCGUGACUCUUCGCUGCAAUAGUGGUGGCGACCUCUACGCCUACCCCUCCACAUCAGCUCACUCCUGCAGCCUCGCCACCACGUCGUCCCUGUGGCACCACCGCCUUGGCCACCUCGGUCCAUCCAGCCUCGCCACUCUACGGAGCAUGUCGGUCAUUUCCUACAAUAAGAGCUCGUCUUGCCUUUGCCAUGCCUGUCAACUUGGCAAACAUGUGCGACUUCCAUUUAGUCACUCCAUUUCUAUAACCACUGCUCCCUUUGAUUUACUUCACUGUGAUGUGUGGACAUCCCCUGUGCUUAGCAACUCUGGUUUUAAAUAUUAUCUUGUCCUCCUAGAUGAUUUUUCUCAUUACUGUUGGUCCUUUCCGCUUCGCCACAAAUCUGAGGUGCACCGCCACAUUGUUGAGUUUAUAGCAUACGCUCAGACACAGUUUGGCAGCACACCAAAAUCCUUUCAGGCAGAUAAUGGAACCGAGUUUGUUAACCACGCCACCACCUCUUUCCUCACUGCCCGUGGGAUCACCGUACGGCUUUCCUGCCCUUAUACCUCACCACGAAACGGCAAGGCUGAACGCAAGCUCCGCACUACCAACACCACCAUCCGCACCAUGCUCCUCCACGCAUCCAUGCCACCUCCCUACUGGGCUGAGGCCCUCUCAACAGCCACCUUCCUCCUAAACAAGCGCCCAUCCUCCUCCAUCCGCAACCAAAUACCUCACCAAAUCCUUCAUGGCACCCUCCCAGAUUACUCCUCCCUUCGCGUCUUCGGGUGUCUCUGCUAUCCAAACCUUACUGCCACAACCCCCCACAAACUCGCACCUCGGUCCACACCUUGUGUCUUCCUCGGAUACCCAUCCUCCCACAAGGGCUACCGCUGUCUUGACAUGGCCACUCGCCGCAUUAUCAUCUUCCGUCAUGUCGUUUUCGACGAGUCUGUGUUUCCAUUCUCGGCAACAUCAUCGGCGGCUUCCAUGCCGUUGUCACUUGACUUUCUGAUGCAGGGACUCUCCUCCUUGACAACACCAGCGAGCACUUCUCCAUCGCUCACUGACAGCAGCGAGGAUGUGCUCCCGACGCUCCUGGACCCGGCCAUACUACAGCUCGGCCCCCUGGCCACCCCUGCGGGCGGGCACACUCCAGCUGCCCCUCCUGCGGAUGGGCCACAGCCGGGCGGCCAGGGGCGGCCGACUGCUCAUCCAGCGGGCGGGCACGGGCAGCCGGUGGCUCACCGUGCGGGCGGGCCUCCGCCGGCUGCUCCUACGGGCGGGCCACAGCUGGGCAGCCACCGUUUCGGCAUCGUCUUCAGCCGCCGAGCCCGUCCUCUGACCACCAAGGCUGCAGCUUCGGCUGCCUCCGUGGCCCCUGCUGCAGAACCAGCGGCACCACCAGCACCGCCACCUGCUCCAGCGACCCAGCCUGCUGCAGAACCAGCGGCACCACCAGCAGCGCCACCUGCUCCAGCGACCCGGCCUGUGACGCGCUCACAGACCGGCUCCCUUCGCCAAGUCCAGCGAUUCGGCUUCACCGCCUCCGUCACCUCGCCCACCCCCACAAACUAUCGCAGCGCCCUCGCCGAUCCUAAUUGGUGCGCUGCGAUGGCAGAGGAGUACAAGGCGCUGAUCGACAACGACACUUGGCGCCUUGUACCUCGGCCACCUGGUGCGAACAUCGUCACUGGCAAGUGGUUGUUCAAACACAAGCUCAACUCCGACGGCUCCCUUGCCCGGCACAAGGCGCGGUGGGUUGUUCGCGGUUUCUCUCAGGAGGCCGGCGUCGACUACGACGAGACGUUCAGCCCGGUCGUCAAACUGGCCACGAUCCGCACCGUCCUCAGCAUUGCUAUGUCUCGAGACUGGCCCAUACGCUAGCUCGAUGUGAAGAAUGUCUUCCUCCAUGGCAACCUCGAGGAGACGGUCUACUGCGAGCAACCGAAAGGCUUCAUCGACCCCGCUGCACCUAACUCUGUUUGCUUGCUGCAGAAGUCCUUAUAUGGGCUUAAGCAGGCACCACGAGCUUGGAACCAGCGCUUCUCCAACUUCAUUUGCAGCAUCGGCUUCACCCCAUCCAAAUCGGAUGCCUCCCUGUUCGUCUACAAGGCUGGCAACGACAUGGCCUAUCUCCUUCUCUACGUCGAUGACAUCAUCGUCACCGCGUCGUCACCGGCUCUUCUCCAGCACGUCAUCUCCAGCCUCUCCUCGGAGUUCGCCAUGACAGACCUUGGUGACCUCCACCACUUCCUCGGCAUCUCGGUGACACAGGACAACAGUGGAUUGUUCCUUUCUUAGCGACAGUAUGCCGUUGACCUCCUCCAGCGUGCUGGCAUGUCUGAAUGCCACCCGACAGCUACUCCGGUGGAAGCUCGGAACAAGCUGUCCGCCUUCGAGGGCGCUCCAGUCACCAACCCCUCGGAGUACAGGAGCCUCGCUGGUGCCCUCCAGUACCUCACCCUGACGAGGCCGGACCUGGCCUUUGCUGUCCAGCAGGUCUGCCUCUUCAUGCAUGACCCUCGCGAACCGCACCUUGCGCUAAUCAAGCGCAUCCUGCGCUACGUCAAGGGUUCUCUGUCCGCAGGUCUGCAUUUGGGCUCCGGUGUUGUCGAUAAGCUCACAGCCUACUCCGACGCCGACUGGGCUGGCUGCCCAGACACACGCCGCUCCACCUCCGGCUUCUGCGUCUACCUCGGCGACAACCUGGUGUCUUGGUCUUCCAAGCGUCAGACGACCGUGACUCGCUCUAGUGCCGAAGCGGAGUACCGUGCAGUAGCCCAUGUUGUUGUUGAGUGUUGCUGGCUUCAUCAGCUACUGCAGGAGCUCCACAUCUCCAUCUCCAUCUCGCUUGCGACGGUUGUCUACUGUGACAAUGUGAGCACUGUCUACAUGACUGCCAACCCUGUACACCACCACCGCACGAAGCACAUCGAGAUUGACAUCCACUUCGUCCGCGAGAAGGUAGCUCUGGGACAGUUCCGUGUUCUCCAUGUCGCAUCUGCGUACCAGUUCGCCGACAUCAUGACUAAGGGUCUGCCCGUCCAACUCUUCACUGAUUUUCGGACCAGUCUAUGCGUUCGUGAUGCUUCCGCUACGACUGUGGGCGGGUAUUAGGAUAUGUAUAUAUCAGGAUCAAUUAGAGAUUGAUUGGCAAUCCCCUAGAUAGGCUAGUUGCCAUGUAUAGCCUAGGAUUGUUUCUAUUUAUAGCCUAGGAUUGUUUCCUUGUACAGGGAAUAGCUUCCCAUGUAUGUAACUUCCAUGCAUACUUAUUGGCUAUAUAUAUGAAAGGCUCCCCACCCACAAUGGGUGUGUGGUGAUUCCCUCCAUUCUAUUCCCAUCUACAGCGCCACCCUCAUUCCGCCACCGGCCACCGCGAGGACGUCUCCGCUGGUCGUUAUCGCGACUAAUUCUAGGUGGCUAUACCUGUGCACCCCAAUCGUUCCAGUGGGCUCCAUGGGAUCCAGGUGGCUGCACACGUGCAGGUCCAUCACGCGGAGGGUGUCUGUCAUAUCUUCAGCAUUCAAAAAUAAAGAGUCAGUUUAUUUCAGGUCAAUAAAUAAGCCUAGAUGUCAAAGGCUUGUUCUUAGGUGUUUGGUUUGUGUCGAGUUCUCAUCCUUAUAAAUUGGUCAGGUUGCAGCUCAAGGACGAGCUGCAUGUCCAGGUGGGGUGUAGUGUUAGAGAGAGCAGGCAACGGCGAGCAGGCAACGGCGUGCACAGAUCAGGGAGCAUGCAGAGGCUGGGCAGGGAAGAGAGCAUGCAGCCGCACGCAUGGAUCAGGAAUGGGUCAGGGAAGGAGUGCGUGCAAUGCCGAGAGGUGUCUAGGAUGAAGGAGAGCCAACCAAAGGCAUUAGCUAUAUUUAGGAGUGAUUUGGGCCUAUUUAUAUUUUUAACCGGGAUCAUGGCAAGGCAAGCAAGAGAUUAGAAGGAAAUCCCUUCCUCUUGCUCGGCCGUGGGCAGAGCCCCAUGGCCGGAUUCCCCUCAACCAUGCAUCCCAACCACGGCCAUAACAGAGGGUGCCUUGAACAUAGCAAAGAAUUCGCUUCAAGGCAGCAAGGUGAGGCUCACGGGGGUCAUGCAUAUGAAGGCAGACCUGCUGCACGGCAUACGCAAUGUUGGGCCGGGUGAACAAGUACUGUAGUGCUCUAGCAAGAGUGCGGAAGUCUAGUGUUAGACACAGGGCCCCCUCAGCUGCAGCAACCUUUGGAUUGGUGUCAACUGGAGUGGAGCAGGGCUUGCAAUCUACCAUCCCAGCGUGAUGCAGAAUGUCUAGCAUAUACUGUGUUGAGAGAGAAGUCCAUCACCGCUUCUCUAAACAUGCAUGCCGAUGAAGUGAUGCAAUUCACCAAGGUCUUUCAUGGCGAACUCUCACGGGAGUGUUGAGAUGAUUCGGACAAAGGGAGACGGGGUGAGGAAGCUGUGAGGAUGAUGUCAUCAAUAUAGAGCAACAGGUAGGUUGUAUCUGAUCUGCGCAAGUAGACAAAAAGUGAGGUAUCUGACUUGGCUUCAACAAACCCAAGAGACAACAAGUACGUGGCCAUUCGACUGUACCAAGCACGAGGGGCCUGCUUGAGGCCAUAUAGCGACUUCUUCAGGAGGCAAACAAAAUCCGAGUGAGCUAGAUCUUUGAACCCGGACGACUGCUGGCAAUACACUAUCUCUGUCAGGUUGCCAUGAAGGAAGGCGUUCUUCACAUCGAGUUGGUGGACAAGCCAGCUCCGAGAGAGCCGGGGAGAGCACUGUGCGGACAGUAGCAGGCUUCACCACGGGAUUGAAUGUCUCAUCAAAGUCAACACUAGGCCGCUGGGUAAAGCCGUGGAGAACCUAGCGCGCUUUGUACCUCUUAAGGGAGCCAUCAAACUGAAACUUGUGCUUGAAGAUCCACUUGCCGAUGACAACGUUGGCCUGAGGGGGCGAGGCACAAGAUUCCAAGUGUGGUUCUUCAAUAGGGCAUUGUGUUCCUCCUCCAUAGCAGCUCGCCAGUUGGGAUCGGCAAGAGCGCUGUGGAAGGUCUUCAGUAUCGGUGAGAGGGGUGCGGUGUGGAACGCAACGAGCAUCCGGAAGCCAGUCUUCGACCGUGUGCCCAUGGCGUGUUGGUUGGUAACAAGAGGGACAACGUCAACACCCUUGGGCAAGGGGAGGGGCGCGGCUGGGGUAGGUGCAGCCAGGGCGGCCGGGGCAGGAGCAGUCGGAGCUAGCUAUGGUCGAGGAUGCCACGUGUAGUGGUAGGUGAAGUCACGGUCUUGACAAAGAGGUAGGAACCCGGGCGGGCGCCCAAGGGGCGCCUGAGGAAGUGACACCGACGCUGGGAGCUCGCGGUUGGGGCUGAAGACAUCGAACCCGUGUGUAGCGUAGGCUAGGAUGUACAACAGCCGUCUAGGUGUGGUGGAUGCGUCCUGGGCUGCGCGUGGCGCAGUAGAUGUCCUCGACGUGCGCAACGAUGGUGGGUUGUAGAGCGCGGGCGCCAAUGGACCACCAGCAGCCUCUGGAGGAUCAACAACAGCGGCUAGUAGCGUCGGGGGCGCUCCAGGCACAUUAUCACGGGCCCGGUAGGGGCGGUGGUGGGUCGUGUCCCUGUAGGCAAAAAACUAUGCAACGAUCCAAUGGGAGCGGCACAACAUCAAUAGCAUCAAGGAACUCGAAAUCUGCUGGAAAACUAGGACCAUGGCGCUCAGCGAAAGGAAAGGUCGUUUCAUCGAAGAGGACGUGCCGGGAGAUGAUGACUAUUGGUGGAGAGGUCAAGGCAGCGUUAUCCUUUAUGAUGGGCGGAAUAGCCUAGGAAGAUGCACAAGGCAGACCAAGGAGCGAGUUUAUGAGGAGCGGUGGCGGACAAAUUUGGAUAACACUUGCAGUCGAAGACUCGUAGGUGAUCAUACACCGGCGGCAUGCCGUACAAGGCAAGGUGAGGUGUGGAUAACUGUAGAGUCUUGGUGGGCAAGAUCUUAAGCAACAAAGUCGCCAUGGAGAGGGCCUCCACCCACUAGGAGGGAGGCAUAGACGCCUGAAAGAGCAGUGAGCGAACGACAUUAUUGAUGGAGCGAAUAAUGCGUUCAGCUUUACCAUUUUGAGGCGAGGUGUAGGGGCAAGACUUGCGUAGAUAGAUGCCUUGGGUGAGGAAGAAGUGGCGGGUGCCGGAGUUGUCAAACUCGUUCCCAUUGUCGCACUGGACAGCCUUGACGCGAGCGCCAAAUUGUGUGGAGACGUGGGCGAUGAACUGAGCAAGCAUAUUGAAAGUUUUAGAUCUGAGUCAUAAAGGAAAAGUGCACAAGUAGUGAGUGCAAUCAUCAACUGUAACCAAAUAGUAUUUGUAACAGGAAACACUGACAACCGGGGAGGUCCACAAGUCACAAUGAAUAAGAUCAAACUUGCUAGACACACAAGGUGGAGACAUGAAAGGGUAGACGAACAUGAUGGCCUAACUGACAAGCAUGACACAAAUCUGAACAAUCUUUAAUUUGACAUGACACUAGACGCAGCUUCGACAACGCCUCAUGAUCGGGGUGGCUGAGACGCCGAUGCCACAACGGGGAGGGAGCGUGGGCGACAAGGGAGUGUGCUGGAGGUAGGUGCAGUGGGUAGAGCGGCCCAUAGCUGUUGCACCUGACGAUCUUGGUCCGAGAUGGAAGAGUGUUAGCAAUAGGCGCCCUAAUGGGCUGUAUGGGCCGGUGCGGUUAAGCACCGUAGGGAUUAAGAUAGAUUGAUAAGGCAAGGAUCACCGUUGAUUGGGUGUUUCUAUAAACCCUUAGGGAUCCUUGCCUAUAUAUGUACCCCUGUACCCCCUUGAUCAAUUAUCUAAUCCCGAGGCUAAUUGCUCUCAUGGUAUCUCGUCUAGGUUAGGUCACCUUCCGCUGCAUCACGUGCGCCGGCCCCUCGCCGCGCCGUAUCCCGCGCGCCGGCCUCUCGCCGUGCAGCGCUUCCUUCUUCCCCUCACCGCGCGCCCUGCCCUGCUGUGCUGCGCGCCCCUGCCAUGUCGCCCUCCCCUCCCAACGACGGGCAGGACCGCACUGCCUCCUCCGGUUCCGUCCAAGAUGACGAGAUCGCCCAGCGAACCGCCCAGGAGCAGGCCAACGCCGUUGCCGCCGCCGCCCAGCAGCUGGAGCGCGAACGCGCCGCGACCCGCGAUGCUGCCUUGGCCCGCGCCCUCGCUGCGGAACAGGAGGCCGCGACUGCGACCCAGGAGCGCGCCGCCGCCGCCAAACGCGCCUCCAACGCCCUCGCGCGCGCAGCCCUGGAGCGGGCGGCAGCUGCUGCCGCCGAGGCUCCUUCCUCGUCUGGGACUCCACCCGGCGGUGCCGCUGCACAAAACGACAGCGCCCCACCUGAUCUCCGCGCCGCCAUGCUUCAUCACGAAGCUGUGGCCCUACUUCAACUUCACUCCCAGGCUGUCGCCGUCAGCAACAUCCGGAACCACGUCACCACCGUCCUCGACGUCGACUCCGGUAACUUCAAUCGCUGGUGUGAUCAGUUCCUCCUCAUCCUCGGCAAAUUCACCCUCCAGGAUCACGUUCGCGACGAACCUCCAGUCCCCAUCUCUCCGGAUUGGGCCCGGAUGGACUGCGUCGUCAAAUCCUGGAUCAUCGCCACCCUCACGGACGAUCUGGGUGAGAUCAUCCGCGCCCAGGGCUCCACAGCCCGGCACGCCUGGCUCGCGGUGGAGUCGCAGUUCCUCGGCAAUCGGGAGGCUCGCUCCAUUCAGCUGGAGACGAAGUUUCGCAACUUCGUGCAAGGGGACCUCUCCAUCACCGACUACAGCCGCCGAUUGAAGAAGAUGGCUGAUGAUCUCACGGCCCUCGGCGAGGUCAUCACCGAUCGUACCCUCGUCCUCAACCUCAUCCGCGGCCUCAACGAGCGCUUCGCCCACGUCGGCACCCUCCUUCGCCGUGCCAAGCCCUUCCCCACGUUCCUGGAAGCUCGUGAAGACCUCAUUCUUGAGGAACUCACCAUGACGGAUCGUAAGGACACUCCAGCAGCUGCCCUCGCCGCCUCCACUACUCCCGCCGCGACGCCUCCACCUUCUGCAGGUUCUGGCGGGGGUUCUAAGGCCCCCAACAACCGCCGCAGCAAGCGCGGUGGCGGCAACAAGGGGCACGGCAACAGCAGCGCUUCAGGACAGGGCUCCCGGCCGCCUGCCGGCAGCGCACAACAGCAGCACACUGCUGCCCAGCAACCUGGAGGAGGGCGCCCUUGGCCCAGCUUCUUCAACCCCUGGUCCGGCCCCUGGCACCCAUCCCCGUGCCUCCUCAUCUCCAGGCGCAGCACCAGGCACAUCAGCAAGCGCAGCAACAGGCACAGCAGCAGGCCCUGCUCGCUCAGCAGCAGCAGGCACUUGUUGCUCCCCAGCAGCAUGCUGCACCGUGGGUCGCUCCGGGGUUUUACAACCCCAUGACUGGCCCGCCUUCCUGGGACUCGACGGAUCUCGCUGCCUCCUUCAGCACGACCUCGCUGACGCCUCCUCCGUCCAACGAGUGGCACUUCGAUUCAGGUGUUACUUCACAUAUGACAUCUCAACCCUCCUCUCUUUCACAUGUUCUUCUCCCGCGGUACCCUACUCCUUCAUCUAUUAUUGUCGGUAAUGGCUCUCUUAUUCCUGUCACUGCCACUGGUUCCACAGAGUUAGUCUCAAAUCUACGUCUUAAUAAUGUCCUUGUGUCGCCAUAAAUUAUUAAGAAUCUAAUCUCUGUUCGCCAGUUUACUCUCGACAAUAAUUGCUCUGUUGAGUUUGACCCCGCUGGUUGUUCUGUGAAGGUUCUUCCGUCUCGGAGAGAGAUCGUCAGGUGUAAUAGCUCCGGACCCUUGUACCCGCUUCGCCUUCCACCAGCACUCUCCUUUGCCACUCAGGGCUCCUCUCCACUGUGGCAUUGGCGUCUUGGGCAUCCUGGUCAUGAGACCUUGUCAAAGCUUGCGUCUACGUCUAGUGUUUCUUCUCCUAUUCAGGAUUGUUCAUAUUUAUGUCAUGCUUGUCAGCUAGGGCGUCAUGUUCGCUUGCCCUUUCAUGUGUCCACAUCUCGUGCGUCUAGCAAGUUUGAUCUCAUUCAUUGUGAUUUAUGGACCUCUCCAGUUGUUAGCAUCUCUGGUUAUAAAUACUAUUUGGUCAUUCUUGAUGAUUGCACUCAUUAUUUGUGGACUUUUCCUUUACGACUUAAAUCUGACACUUUCAGCACGCUCGCGCAAUUCAUCGCCCAUGUCUCCACUCAGUUUGGUGCUCGCGUCAAAGCCGUUCAGUGCGACAACGGGAAAGAGUUUGACAACUCCAGCACCCGCCAUUUUCUUCUCUUCCAGGGCAUUCACCUCCGCAUGUCCUGCCCCUACACCUCAUCCCAGAAUGGUAAAGCUGAACGCAUUAUUUGCUCUAUCAAUAAUGUUGUUCGCUCCCUGCUCUUUCAGGCGUCCAUGCCUCCCCAGUACUGGGUGGAGGCACUCUCCACGGCGACUGUUCUCCUCAACAUUUUGCCCACCAAAACUCUAGAGUUCUUCACGUCUCAUCUUGCCUUAUUUGGUAAGCCUGCCACAUAUGAUCAUCUGCGAGUUUUUGGUUGCAAAUGUUACCCCAAUAUAUCUGCCACCGCCGUUCACAAACUUGCUCCUAGGUCUGUCCUGUGUGUCUUCCUAGGCUAUUCCGCUCAUCAUAAAGGGUACCGCUGCCUUGACCUCUCCUCCAACAGAGUCAUCACCUCUCGGCACGUCAUCUUCGAUGAAACGGCCUUUUCCUUUGCUGAGCGCUAUGGUUCUAGCACUCCAGCAGACCUCGAAUUUCUUACAGAUACUACUGAUGUCGUGCCUGCUCCUAUUGGACCAUCGCACAAGUCUUUGCCUGCAGGAAAUUCGCCCAGCACCUCCGACGCCGUCGCUUGCGCCCCUGCCGGUCCCUGUGAGGCUGUGCUUGGGGCGCCCUCUGAGGAUGUUGACGCUGAAGACACCCUGACGCCCGCACUCUACGUACCUCCUGCGCUACGGGUGUCAGGACCACCUCCACCGACGACCGCGACCGCGCCACGCGCGGCCACCAGGAGCCCAUCCGCGCCAUGCGCGGCCCUGGAGCUGCCUGACGCCCUGCGUCAUGGAUCAGCUUCCCCUUCAGCACCUCCCCAGGCGCCGCGCGGGCCACCACCAGGAUUCCUUCCUCUCCGGCCGGCUCGCUACUUCACGCACGUCUACGAGCGACGACCACGUGAGCCACUUGCGACUGCCCCGGCCACCUCACCGGUCGCCCCUGCUGCAGCACCUUCGCUGCCUCCUGCUGCACCGGUCGUCCCCGCACCUGCUGCAGCAGCCCCGCUGCCCAAGGGUGCGGUUGCAGUCCCUCCGCGGACCAACCAGCACCCCAUGGCCACUCGAUCGAAGAGCGGCUACAGGAUGCCCUCUAUCUACCACGCCGUGCCUCUCUCUCCGGUGCCGAAGACCUUCCGUAGCGCUCUUGCUGAUCCCAAUUGGCGAGCCGCUAUGGAGGACGAACACAGUGCUCUUCUUCAGAAUCACACCUGGGAUCUUGUGCCUCGCCCUCCUCGGGCCAAUGUUGUCACUGGGAAGUGGAUCUUCAAGCACAAGUUUCGGUCUGAUGGUUCCCUCGAGCGGUACAAGGCGCGUUGGGUUCUCCGUGGUUUUACCCAACGGCCUGGUGUGGACUUUGAUGAGACCUUCAGUCCUGUGGUGAAGCCCGCUACUGUUCGCACGGUUCUCUCCCUGGCACUCUAAAAGCCCUAGUUUGGUUUUGGAUAAUUGAUGAAACCUUAGUACUAACCUCUAUGCUAAGUGUGUGUAGACUUAAUGAGGUUGGUACAUGCCAAGUGAUGGAGCAAAUGAUGAUCAUGGUGAUGAUGGUGAUGACCACAAGAUGAUCAAGUGCUCAACUUGGAAAAGAAGAAAGAGAAAAACAAAACCCUAUGGAGAUCAAGGCAAAGGUAUUGCUUAGGGUUUUGGUUUUGGUGAUCAAGACACCAUAGAGGGUGUGAUCACAUUUAGGAUAGAUAGUCGUACUAUAAAGAGGGGAAUUCUUUGGCUAAGCGGUUAUCAAGUGCCACUAGGUGUCAUUGUUCAUGUGCAUGCAUUUAGAACCUAGUGAGCUAACUUAACUCCUUCGAAGAAAUUAAUUGUGAAAAUGCUAACACACGUGCACUUGUUGGUACACACUUUGUGGUGUUGGCACACUUUGAGAAGGAGGUGGAGUUUGAAGGGUAGAGGGAGGAUGGGUUCCUCUCUUCGAGAAAAUGAAGUGCAUAUUUUCUAUUGCGCCGGUGGGAAAUUUGGAGAAGUCGCGGGAGUGUUUCUCGCUGAGAAAACACUCACCGGACGCUGGCCACUGAGGCACCGGACGCUAAGUCUGAGCGUCCGGUGCAGACAGUGCCUAGCCCAGCUAGGGUAAGGCACCGGACGAUAGGCACCGGACGCUGGCUUGAGCGUCCGGUGGUGCGCGUCCGGUGUGCGGGCGUCUUGGCGACCCUCUCUGCGCACGAGUCCGGUGAGCACCGGACGCUCAGGGUGCGUCCGGUGGCUAGCGUCCGGUGUCCCGCAGGUUUGCGGAACUCUCUGCGCAUGAGUCCGGUGUGCACCGGACGCGUCCGGUGCCAACUUGCUUAGCGUCCGGUGCACUGCAGGUGACCGUUAGACUCUGACACGCGGCUGACGUUGGAGCACCGGACGCUGGUGCUGAGCGUCCGGUGCCCCUUUAAGAGCGUCCGGUGACCCCGUAUUUCGCCCAGUGAAAGAGCCAACGGCUCUAUUUGUUUGAGGGGCUAUAAAUACGUGUUUGGCCGGCUUGGGGCUCACUCUCUUGGCAUUCUAACAUACUUGACAUCCUUGUGAGCCUAAGCAAACACCUCUCACUCAUCUCCUUCAUAGAUUAUACAUCUUUGUGAGAUUGGGAGUGAUUCCAAGUGCAUUUGCUUGAGUGAUUGCAUCUAGUGGCACUUGGGGAUCGUUCUAGCUACGGUUUUCUUGUUACUCUUGGUGGUUGCCGCCACCUAGACGGCUUGGAGCAGCGGAGGAGGAUUGGCACGAGUUGGUGAUUGUUCGUGGCCAUCUUCCGGUGAUUGUGAGGGGAUUUGUACCUUCCCCGGCGGAGAGCCGAAAGGUAACUCUAGUGGAUUGCUCGUGUCAUUGAGUUACCUCACUUGUGGGUAGGUUCUUGUGGUGUC
rnacentral:lncRNA from 1 species